rnacentral:lncRNA from 1 species
GCCAACUGGGCCAAUUCCCCGCUCAACCUUGUCUUGGCCGUUCAUAAAGGGACAAAUACAGGAAUCCUGUUUUCCAGCCCCAGGGAACAGUGCCUCUCAAUCUAGGACUUUUCAUUGUUUCUACUUACCUUAUUUGUUCCGUUUUUUCUUUCUUCUCCUGCAUCGUAAAUUCAUAAUGUCAAAUUUCAUAAGACAGGCAUAUUUCAGAGUGGUUAAUGUGGAUCAAUGAUUCUGCUAUAUUUAUGUGGUUCUACUUCCAUGAUGAUGAAUUUUUAAACCAUAAGCUUUUGUUAUCCUCAUUUUCUAGCAAUCAAUUAGUCUAGUUGUAGGCAGAUUUGAAGUUGUUCCUUGCAUAAGGCCAAUCAGAGUUAAAACAGUGCUUUUUUUAGUUUCUGAUGUUUAGUUGUUUCUCUGCGCCUUACAGCUUGCUGGUUCGAUUAGACAUAAAUUGAUCCCCAGAGCUACUGUAUUGCUGGUUUAUUAUGAAAGCAGAUUUGGUCACUGGUGGCUGUGCCAGAACUUACGUCCCACACGAAUGCAGGUCAUAUUAAUAUAUCAAUUCUAAUGUUAUAUCCCUUGUUCCUUGAUGUAAUCACUCUCUUCAUUGUAAAACAGAAUUUAUGAAAAAAAAAAUCAACUUUGCAAUUUGUAGACAGUAGAAAUGGGUCUUUGGGCCCUGUUUAUUUGAAGCUGAUGUCCCACACUUGUUAUACUACUUCUUCAGUAAAAAAAUUCCAGUUUUAGGGUGGAUUUCUUUCAUGAAGGUUGCAAAUAAUGUGCUAGACUUGUUUUACUCAUCUCCCUAGUGAUUAUUGGUUUGAAUCUUAAACACACUCAACAAAAUUCUAAAUCAUAUUUGCUUAAUAUGGAUGUGAUUUUUACUCUUUGAAGGUGUCUUCCAAUUCCGAAAUCGACAUUAAGGUACCAAGAACUUGAUUUCAUAAAAUAUCAGUACUUUGAAGCUAAAAACACCCAGAAUUUAGAGUGAUAGUUUUUUUUUCCCGAAAUCACGAGAUAACAAGACAAAAUGGAAGCAAAAGCAGAUAACAUUACAUCUGAGGAAAUAAUAAAUCAUCAUUGUUGCAGUCUUGUCCAUUUGCAUGAAGCUAGUUCUAUUCAAAACCCAGAUCAAAGAACACAAGCUUGUUCCAAGCAUAAAACAUCCAACAGUAGUUUACAGUUGGUAAUUGAGGGUGUUGUCCUGGGGUGCAGGUGUGAAGUUCCAUUUUCUGAGAAGAAACCUUUCUUUGCCCAAACAACCUGUAUCAGAAACCUAGUGGCCAUGCCACGGGGUGAAUUUAAAAGCUGGAUUGUGGCAAACCCUGAAAUUCUUCCUCUCCUCUAUCUAUCUCCAGUCUGUCACUUAAAGCAAUGCAGCAUUUAUUCAAGUCUUCUUAUUGUGUCAUUUCCCCCCAAUCAAUGGUGAUAGUGGAAAAAACAAUAAGGUUCCUGGAAAUGGUUGGAGAAUCAAAAUGCAAAUUUCCAUUACCAGUAAAACGAAUAAUCUCUAUCAUGAACCUAUCAUGAACCUUGUUAAAAGGUACCUAUCAUGAACCUGGAUCUAAAUUACAGUCAUAAUAAUAAUUCCAAAAUGGAAUAAGGUGAAAAAGUUAAAUAAAAAAAGAGGGAGGAAAAAAAUGGAGGAGGCAGAGCCAGGGAAGAGGCAGUGCAUGGGCGGAGAAACAACAGAAUCAGUUGGUAGAUCCAUCCAUGCUCAGCCUGUUCCCUGUCUUUGUCUGUCUCUCCCAUCUUUCUCACUCUCUCUCAAUAUUGACUGUUACCUCAUCUUGUUUUGCCUCUGUUGGAAUGCCCCCAAAAAAACCUGCCACUCUGAUGUCUAUGGCUCUAUGCUAUAAUAACCCAAACUCUGAGCUAUUUAAGCUAACCCCCCCCCCCCCCAAUAACGUUUACAGUACAACUUGUACUAAACGGACUCUGUACUACAGUACUAGCAACUUCUUUGAGUGCCCGUUGAACAUACAAGAACCUAUUUUGGUGGGAUGAAUUUGUACUACACUUGUAUCUGCUAGUACUCUCAUAUUCUCCAAUGAUCCGUUGACUCUUACCAAAUAAAUUACUUCCAUAAAAGAAUUUAGUGGUGCCGUUAGCCUAAUGCAACCACUUCAAAUCUUUGAAUAAACAGAUUCAGCUUGUCUUGCAGAUUUCAAAUGGUAUGUUGGAUUAUGAUGAAAAUCAAACAUGGUUGUAUUGAUUGAUAAGAACAAUUCGUAUUCUAUCUAUUUGGAGAAUAUUGGUUUCUUUCUGUAAAAAAAGGAUUACUAUAGGUAUUUGGAAAUGGCGAGCUGGUGGUGAAAUUCAGAUCAAAUGUUGGCUGUCGAUCUAAGAAAUCCACAUGAACUAGAAUUAGGCCGAGCAACCUUAUAGUCAUCCAGCUUAUUGCACCAAGACAAUCACGGUAUGUAAGCUUUUGAUCAACAAUUUAAUUUUGUUCGUUUAUUUUCAUUUACCAAUUUAAACCAAAAUUUACUCGGUUUUUUUUGUUAAUGAACAAAUUUGUUUACGUUCAUUUAAAUUAUUUAAAGUUCAUUUAAAAGCUGAUUUAUUAUUAAAUCAUUAUAUAUUAAUAGAAUUAUUAUCUGGGGGCUUAUUUUAUUUAUUUAUUUAUAGUAUAUUUGAUUUUAUCUAAAAUAUAAUAUAUAUAUUUAAUAUUUGUGAACAUAUUCAUUUAAUGUUCAUGAAAUAUUUGUUUAACUUAAACGAAUAAAUAUGAGAACAAAUAAGCACAAAUACAAAAUUAAAAUUCUUAGUAGGAAGAGGUUUAAAAAUAAGAUUAACAGCUUUAAUCCAAAAUUCAAACUUUCAAUAAAAUUUGAUUCCAAGUUGUUUGUUUGAAAUUAAAUUAAAACUAAAACAAAUAAAAAUUGAAGGAUUUGAAUUGAAGAACAAUAAAAAAGGAUAAAGAAACUAAAUAUAAGUAAAACUGAAAUAAAUGAUAAAAAUGGUAGUUUUAAAAAAACAAAGUUGUAUCUAGUUCUACAUAAAUGAACCAAUCAAUUUCAAGCAUAAUUAAAGAAUUGUAUAAUAUCUCUAAUAAUCAAAUACGAACUUAUCAAAAUCCGUAGUUUAAUAUGUGUGUAGGUCGGAUCAUAUAAGAGCUAAACUCAUCAUCUAAUCCAACAAAUACAUUUAUUUAGAAAGUUGAAGAGUGAGUGAAGAUAAUUUGUAUUAUGGAUCCCUCAAUUCCACCUGUAAGAUCUCUAAGCUACUUGAACAAGCAAAGAACUUUUGCGAACAAAACGAAAACGAAGGUAAAAGGAAGCAUCAUCUACGAAUAUGUAUUUACUUUUCAUUAUAUAUAUUUCAAAAGUGGGGAUGAUGAAUACAUAGGCAACAAAGAAUUUACAAUUCAAAUAUGAAUGAGAUCAGAAGCAUCUCGUUGCCCUUUCUCUCUUUUCUGAUUCCAUUUUCUUUUUAUAUAUCACAAUAUAAAAGUAAAAAAAUUGGGAUUUCUAACCUGAAUGAAUGUACAACUCCCCCAUGCAAAUGCCCUUUUCCAAUAACAAGUCUAGAGAAUCUCUAGACAAAUGAAUAUAGUUCCCUUGGUCUGUUGAAUAUCACAUUUGAUAUUUUAAGAGAUCAGGAAGAGUGAUUUUCCCAGAGUUAUUUGUAUCCAGCUUGCUGAACUGAUUGCAUAUCUGCAAUAUAUCCUUCUCCCUAACCUUCCCCAUUUCUUUGAGCUUGUAAAUGACAUACUCCGAUUUACUGCAACCAGAAAUUUUAAGGUGGAACAUGAACAACAAAAGCAUCACAAGUAAAAGAACUACAAACAAGCCCCAUUAGUCUGCUAGAGAAUAAAUAAACAUCCUCAUGAAUUCAUAGACUACAAGCCCUUUAAUUUCAAACAAGCAGCACAUAGAGUUCAUUCCAAAAUUACCUAGAAAGAUAGAAACCCGACCUGAUAAAACCAUUGUUGUUUAUGUCAGCAGCUAGCAAAUCCUCAAUAGUGAUAUCCCUAUGUAGUACCCACUUGGCAAUCCUCCUAUGCCGCUUGUUAACCCUUGCUUCAGCCAAAUACAGGAAAGCUCUAGCAACAGCCAGCGUCGAAAUCAGGAGCCAAACACCAGCAAACAAGCGUCCAGGCAGAGUCUUAAAGGCCCUGUCCCCAUAUCCAACUGUGGUAACAGACAUAACAGACAAGUAAAUAGAAUCAACCCAGUCCAAGCUCUCCACAAAGUACAAAAUCAGAGAUCCGAUCCCAAUACACAACACCACAACCCCAAGUGCCAAACCGACUUUAAGCCUAAUCCUCAUCCUUCCUUUGUCCACAUCAACAAUGUAAUCCCUAGCUGAAAACCCUUGUUGUGAUUUCUCCAUCUGAAUCCCAGUUAAUAUCAUGUUCUCUUGCAAGUCGAGGACAUAAUUCACAACCCCACUCAACAAUAUAUCAAUAAAACCAAAACCCACCAACACAAACACACAAGCAAAAAUCUUGGUAGCUGGGGUUAAAGGAGCUAUAUCACCAUAACCAAUGGUGCACAUAGUGACUAUACAGAAGUAGAGAGCAUCAACAACCGGGUGAGUCUCGAUACCCGAGAAUUCAUCUCUGUUAAACGAAUAAAUAACAACACCGAGAAUUAAGUAAAUGGAGAGCAAGAAAACAGCUUGCCUGAUAAUGGAGCUGGACUCAGAUUGAGGUUUAGGCACUUGGGGUGUUUUGGGCUUCAAAUCACGCAUGACAGCCAUGGCCGGAGCCGUUUUACAUCGCUUGAGAGAACCGGGCUUCUUUGACCCUGUACUAGGAACAGGAUAAUCAAAACGGGGAGGGGGUUGAAUCUGCGGGUGGUCCUCGAUUUCAGAUUGCAAGAGGGCUGGUGUUGAGAUUGACUGUGGGAUUGUGAGAUAAAAGCCAUGAUGAGAGUCAUCAAGGAUGUGCCGAAAUUCGGGUUUUGAUUGGGGGGAGAGAAAAGGCUCAUCUGCCAUCUCAGAAAUCAACACAACAGAAAAAGAAGCCUUUUACUUUUUUGCGUCUUCAAGAUCGUGGUGGUUGUUGAGAGGUAGUUGGCUUCAGGUUUAAACUUUCGACAUUGUGACAUUGCUUUUAAGGAACACACUCUGCUUUCUCUUUAGUCAAAUAUACAUAAAAAUUAAAAAUUAAAAAUAUACACACUGCACUGCACCUUAUAUACUAUAAUCGUUGUUUGGACGCAAUAUGGAUUAUGUUGCUUCAUUUAGUAAAAUGGUAUAAUUAGGUUCCAAUUGACAACUAUCACUAUUUUAUUCCUAUAAAUACCAAACCAUCCUUUCUUUGUUUAGUCAUCUCAUUUCUCUUGCUUUUGUAGUUCUUAUCCAUUUUAGACUUAAGUAUCAAUAAUAAUAUUGUUUAGUGUAGACAAGUAAAACAAACUUGGGUUAUUUUCAUCUCCAAUUAUUACAUGUUAACCAAAUUCUUUUAAAAUAAAUCUAAAUAACUUCACUUCUAUGCCUCUUUCAUUAGUUAGUGCAAUAAUAUUAUAACUCUUUUCCUACUCCUAAAUAGGAGGAUAAAACACAUUUAAAUACAUUUAAACUCAUGUCCUCUUCUAGUGGCGACAAUACUGAUGUCAACCAAGUUAAGACUUAAUUAAUUGUAUGUAAAUUUGUAGAAGAAGUAAAACUAAUGUAUUACUUUAUGAGUCUUGAUUUGAAUAAAGAGAUAGCUAAAGCUCUUAUCAAAUAGAUAUUUGACAUGGACACGAACUAAGUUACCUUCAUCCCCUAUCUCUGUAUAGAAAAAAGUAUUUCUUUAUGAAACAUAACUUUUGUCCAAAAGAAAAAAAUUCCAAUAAAAAGUUAUUUUAUAAAAGUGUUAAUUUCCGUAUUUUUUUAAAAUAUAUAUUUAUCAAAUAUAUAUUAUCUUUUAUAAAAUUAAAUAAAUUUUAUUUUUUUAAAAUUAAUGAAAUUAUUUUAUAAAACAUUUCAUCAAAUAAAAUAUUUUACAAAAUAAAACGCAAAAAGAAUUUGGUAUGUAUUUUUAUUGGAAUAACAUAUUGAAAAAGAAUUGAAAGUUGGGAAUCAUUUAAAAAAAAAUCAAAUGUAUUCCUUAAAAAUAAUGUUAGAAAUGCAGGAGAAAAAAACAGAAUUUUAAUAUUAAUUUCUGAGUAAGGACCUAAAAAUAAGGGAGGAAAAACUUUUAUAUUAGAAUUUACAAAUGUAAUAGCCUGAUUUUCAGUAAUGUCGGAAACAGUGUUUCGAGGCCACAAAAUCUGGCGAGUAAGUUCGUAAAUUUUAUUAUUUAAUGUUUACGAGUCAAAUAUGGUUUAAAAAAAUUGAAUUAGUAAUUUAUGUCUUAUAAUGAAUUAUUAGAUUCGAAUGAUAAAACCCUAGUUCAAAUGGUUUUAGAAAAUGAGGUAUCGGGACCUCGUUUCUAUAAACUGAGCUGUAAAUAUUUUUAUAAAUAUUGACGGAGUGCCAUUAAGGUAGUAUUAAAGUUUCCUUGAAAAAUUUUAACGUUUCGACAGUUAAUUAAUUAAAAAGGACUAAACUGAAAAAUGUGCAUAACUUGCUAAUUAUAAUAAAAUGACUAAAUGGCUUGAUUAAUAAAUGAAGAAGGACCUAAAUAGCAAUUAUGCCUAAAUGAAAAGAUGUGGCGCAUAACAUGGAAAAAAAUAAUGAAAUAAAGUAAAAUUGUAAUUAAAUUGAAAUUAAAAUAAAAUAAAAGUGAAAUUAGAAAGUUUUUAGGCAAUUCUUUAUUUUUCUCCCAGUUUCCGGUUGCCGUUGAUGAAUCUAUAUGAUUUUAGUUAUUAAAUGAUGAAUUUUAGAUGUUGGUUGAUAUUUAAAAAUAUUUUAUUAAGUAAUUUUGAUGAACUUUUCGAUUAGGGCUAAUUUGUUGAAAUAGUAAAAAUACAAGGGUUUUUUUGAAAUUAUUGAAAAAUUGGGCUGUAUUGAAUGCCGUGAAUAUUUUGCUAGCAUGGGUUUGCAUUAAAUAUGGUUAAUUUGCAUGAUUUGGCGUAGGGACUAAACUGAAUAAAAGUAAAUUUUUAGGGGUAAUUUUGUAAAAAUAUAAAAAUGACCAAAUUGCAUGAAAUGAAUUUUUUUAUUAUUUAAAUUAAUAAAUUGAAUGAAACAUUAAUUUAGAUCAAGAUCGGGUGGAAAAUCGAGGGAAAUGGAAAAUUAACAAAAUGCCCCUAUAUCUUGUUAUUUAUGCAAUUUAGCCUGGUAAAUUCGUAUGAACUAUGUUCUGUAUAAAUUUGAUUAAAGUGAAUGUUAUUUGGUGAUGAAUAUUAUAUAUAUAUGUGUGUUCUAUUGCUGGAAUUGAAUUAUUAUUGGAAAUAUAUUAUCGAAUUUAAUACUCAAUUUGGAUUGAACGCGAGAUUGAGUACAAUUGUUCUGUGGCAAAUGAUGAAUUGACGGAUUAGACCAUAACUGGGUUAUAUUACUAUGAACAUAAGACCAUGGUUGGACCAUAGCAGUGUUUAUAUGUAAGACCAUAGCUGGGUUAUGACAUUCUGAUGAUAUGACCAUAACUGGGUUAUGACACUACGAAUGUAAAGGAUGAGUUGACGACAAAUUACCCAAGCAAACCGAAGUUCAGCAUUUGUUGCGAACUUUCGUGUUUACUUUCUGUUUAGCUCUCAUGAGCUUCUGUUCAACCUUUGAGCUUCUGAAAGCAAUGUACUCAUAUUCGUAAGCCGUUCUUCGAAUGGUAAAAUAACUAGAGUUGUUUUUGGAUGACAUAUGUAUAUGAAGAAACAGUAAGAGAAUGAUAUGUGUCAUGAUAUGUAUAUAUAUCAAUAUCUUGAUAUGUUGAUACAUGGAAAUUAUGUAAGUCGUGAUGAGUAAUAAACUCAAGUGUGAUAUGUUGAUAAAAUAAGUUUAUCAAUAUUGAAUUUAUAUGAAAUAUGUUCAAGUAUGCUAACAAGUGUUGUUGUUGACGCUUAAACAAGUGUCAAGCUACUGGUCAAAUGGUAAUAUGUUUAUUAUAUGAUGCGUUGAAAGGGUAAGUGCUCAAAUGAAAAUAUACUUGUGCUCAUGAAAGAAUGGUAAAUUUUUAGUUAUGCAAUUUCUUAUAAAAUGAGUUGUCGUGUGAUUAAUUCGAAAAAGGUCUGUGUUUAAAUGCACUAGCUUAUAUCUAUGGUUGAAUGAUAUGCUUAUGACUGGUGUGUUAUGCAUAUGGAAUGAGUGUGGAAAGUAAAGAAACGCAAAUGAAAAUAAAGAAAUUUUGGAAAAGUUAAAGUUGUUUAAAAUCUUAUUAUGCUAGGGAUAUCAUGUGUAAGUGAUACUGUAGAUUUAUUCACUUAGUGAGUUGUUAAAUAUAGCUUCAUGAGUAUUGUGGUAGCAACAUUAGAUUAUUCUUGAUAAGUAUAAAUUUCAUAUUUGAAAAGGAAGUAUUAUGAUUAAAGUUUAUACGAGCUUACUAAGCAUCCAUUACUUAUGUAUUUGUUUUCUUCUACUUUUUAGAUUAUCGGAAGCUCGAUUGGGUUGGAAGCUUGUCGGAGAUAUAUCACACUAUCCAUUGGUUAUAUCAGUAUUUUCGAAUGUUUUGAUUUUGGUUAUAAUGGCAUGUAUAGGUAUUUUGUUUAAUGAUGGCUUAUAUAUAGUGUGUUGAGUUUAGCCACUUAUUUUGACUUGUUUUGAAUGUCUAAUUAUGGCUUGUUGAUAUAUGUAAUGUUGAUUGUUAAUAGACACAAAAUUGGGUGAGAAAUAUGGCUUGUAAAAUGACCUAGUUUCGUUCACACGGGCAAAGACACGGGCAUGUGUCCCCUACUUCUAAGAAAAUUUUUGAAAUUUUGGAGAAAAUUCCUUGAAUACCCGGUUUAGUCCCGAUUUACUUCUAAGGUGAAUAUUGGGCCUUAAAGGUCCAUCUAAGGGACAAUAUGAGUGUUAUAUAAUUGAUUCUUAAUAUGUGUAACAAAAGUUGAGAAAUGUCCGUAUUUAAUUCGUAAAGUUUGGUAAUGUUUCGUAACCCUGUUCUGAUAACGAAUGAGGGUUAGGAGUGUUACAUACAAUGUGUAAAAACAUUUUAAAUGAUGUAAUAGGUAUCGAGAUUUAAUAAAAAAACAAAUUUUUAGUACUAGACUUGUUUAACACGGAUUUUAAUAACGUGAUCUCAUCUCUUAUUAUUAAUAUUGUAUAAAAAAUUAUUAUACUAAAAAAUGUAUUAUGAUGUUAAUACCAAUGCUAAAUGAGGCAUUAAUAAUUUAUCAUCGUAUUAUUCAAUAUAAAAUUUAGUGAGUGUAAUUUGUCCUACUAUUAUAAAAUUAAACUAAUUCAAAGCCACCUAACAUAACUUAUUGUGCACGCAACCGCUAUUGGGCAAACUUUAUAGUUUUCCAUUGCCAAAUUGAACUUGAAAGCCAAGAUGAAGAUUAGUCUAGUCUUAAAUACAGAUAUCCAGUAUCUGGUUUUACAUAUAUAAGGAUGGGUGUCUGUUAAAAGGGCAAUCAUCAUUUUCUUAGCCAUAUUCUUUACCAAUGGCGCUCUGUGUUGUGAGAUCAAGGCGAAGCCUAGUGACUCCAUCUCAGCAAACACCAUCUGGCAAGCUUGACUUGUCAUUCAUUGAUAAAGUGCCGGUUCUAAGAUGCUAUACCCGCACAUUGCAUGUAUACAAACAUGGCCCUGAAGCAUCAAAGGUCAUUAGGGAAGCUUUGUCCAAGGCCUUGGUGCCUUACUAUCCACUUGCUGGACGGCUAAAAGAGUCCGAUAACAAUCAGCUUCAGGUUGAAUGUUCGGGAGAAGGUGCCUGGUUCGUCGAGGCAUCAGCUGAUUCUAGCCUUCAUGCAUUCAAUUACUUCGACGAUGCUAAUUUUGACAUUCCUUAUGAUGAACUUCUUCCUGAUCAAGUUCCUAACAGUGAAGGCAUGGAACCUCUUGUACAAAUGCAGGUACCAUAAUUUUGAAUUUAAACCAGCAAUGAUGGUAAUGUGAUUAAGCCUAAUGCAUGCACCGUGCAUGGGUUUUUCUUUUUCUUUGUCUCAGGUGACACAAUUUGCAUGUGGAGGUUUCGUCAUAGGGUUAAUAUUUUGCCACACCAUAUGCGAUGGCUUAGGAUCUGCACAGUUCCUAAACGCUGUAGGGGAGUUCGCGAGAGGUAUGGAACAUCUAAGCGUUGAACCGGUGUGGCAAAGGGACUUUUUUCCAACUCCAACACAAGAAGCAAAUGUUAUCCAAUUGGCAAACUUGCCAGUGCCACCACCCCCGAUGCCUGGCAAGCCGCUAGAGCAUGUGAGCAUUGAUAUUUCCAUGGAUGAAAUCAAUCAGCUAAAGGAACAAUUCCAUGAAUCGACGGGGCAAACUUGCUCUGCUUUCGAAAUCGUGGCUGCUAAUUUUUGGAGCCUUCGAACAAGAGCAAUAAACUUGAAGCCAGGUACUGAAGUCCGGCUUCUUUUCUUUGCAAACUGCCGUCAGCUAGUGGAGCCUCCUUUGCCUAAAGGCUUCUAUGGCAACUGUUUCUUCCCGAUAACAAUCACAGCUCCCUGCGACUUGCUUAAACAAGCAUCAGCAAUCGAAGUGAUUAAACUGAUACGAGAAGCCAAGACUAAGCUACCUUCUGAGUUUGGUAAGUUCAAGAAUGGAGAUUACUUGAGAAAUGGGAAGGAGCCAUUUCUAGCACCUCUAGGGUACACCACUUUGUUUAUAUCGGAAUGGGGUAGGUUGGGGUUCAACCAGGUUGACUAUGGGUGGGGCCCCCCGGUCCACAUGGUUCCAAUUCCGGGCUCUAGCAUCAUCCCUGUUGGCAUCAUGGGAUCGCUGCCAUUGCCUAGAAAGGGUGUCCGCUUGAUGACAUGGUGUGUUGAGAAAGACCAUACCCAUCCCUUCGUUGAUCUGAUGACGAAAUUAGUCUAACAAGUUACCAGUGCUUGAAGUCUUGAACUGCUAUUGCUUUACCCAACGCCAAUGUCAAUAAAACAACACAGCGCCACCACAUGUUCAAAACAUUUGUGCUUUUUAUUUAUUUGUAUUUGGUAUAAUCUUCAAUUUGAUCUUGAAAAUCUUCUCCUUAUUAAAAUUAUCUCAUUCACUUGUGGUCAUUUUCAAAUAAAAUUAUUAUUUCUCAUUAAGUAAAUGCCAUUGUGUGUAGUUUUAUUAGAAAGCAAUUUUCUAUUUUUAUGUUUGGUUCGUAUUUAAGACUUGUGAUUACAUUUCCCAUUAAUAUUAUCUUUUUUUGAAAGUAGUAAAAUAAUCAUAAUAUAACAAUCACAUAAUUAACUAUAUAUAUUUUUAGAAAACUAUUGAUGGUUUAUUUACUUUAUAAUAAUAUAUAAUUAAAUUAAGGCUUUGCUUGUUUCAUUGAAAAUGGUUUUCGAAAAAUGAUUUCUGGAAAAUGACUUACCUUUUUGGAAUAGCUGAUAUUUUCUAGUGUUUGAAUAAAUCUGUGUAAAAUAUUUUCUAUUGUUUAGUAGAUUUCCUGAAAAUAUUUCAUAAAAUUUGUUUCCAAUGAAACAAACAUACAUUUGAGAUUUUAUUAUCUUUUCAUUGUUUAAUUGAGUUUAUUUCAUAAAGCUUAUUUAGAUUUUAAUUAAUCAUGUUUUAGUUUUAUUUAAUCUUAAUUUUCUUAAUUAAGCUUAAUUGUUAAUUUCAUACAUUAGGGCAUAUAAAUUUAUGUUUAAUUAAUUUGAAAGUGGUAAAUAUUUAUUUUUAAUAUUAUUUGGAUGAGUAGGUUAAAAAAAUGAUUUAAUUUGAUAAAAAUUGAAGUAAGGAUCAAAUUAUAAAAUUUGUAAAUUUUCGAAUUCUAAGGGUUUGAGUAGUGAAAUUCGAAACAUUGAUGUAGUAACUAAAUUAUAUGAUUAUGAAAUAUGAAAUUUUGGAAAGUUGAGCAUAACAUAGUAAAGUUUGAAAUUAUAGGGGUUAAAUUCUAAAGAUUUCAAAACUUGAGUUUUAGGACUAAUUUACAUAAUUUGAGAAUUUAAAAUUUUGCAAAAUAGAAUAUGAAAGUUUAAUUGUUCAAAAAUCAAUUGCUAAUUUUUGGAAAUUUUGACAAUUUUAGUUGUAAGGACUAAAUUAUAAAAUCUGGAAAUUUUAGAAAAUGGUCUAUUUUGAAAAAUUGUACAAAACGAGGUUUAGGAUUGAACUGUGGAAUAAGAAAUCUAUUUUUGAGGAAUUAAAUUGUAGAGCACUAAAUGUGAUAGCCCGAAAUAGGGCCUAAUCGGAAUAGUGGUUUUGUAACCACAAAUCCGAAGUGAAAUAGUUUAAUUUUAUAAAUUUUUAUUAGUUACUGAUUGAUUGAAAUAUUGUGUGAAAAUAUGGAUAGGAAAUUUUAAUGCUUUAGUGCUUAAUUGAAUUUUUAGGACUAAAUUGAGAAAAAUGCAAAGUGUGUCUAAUUAGUGAUUAAAUGACUUAAUUGAAUUAUUGCAUGAAAUUGGAAGUGUUUAUGUGGCAAUUAGACCAUAAAUUAGUGUUAUGGACACAAAAGGGUAUUUCUAGAAAAAUAUCUAAGUAAUGGGUUAAGGGCAUUUUUGUCCAAAUUGGGUAAAAGACAAAAUAAAGAGAAAAUAAGUGUCCAUCUUCUUCAAAAAUCAGAAGCUUGCUGCCGAAAGUUUCAUGUUACCAUAGUUAAGGGUUUUGAUUUUCCUAAGCUCAAUUGUAAGUGAUUUCUUGCCCCGUUUUUAAUUAUUUUCGUAUUUUUAUGCUUAUUGAAGCUUGAAUUUCAUGUUUCUACCAUUUAAUUUAAAUGAAAUUAAAGUUUAAAAAUUGACCCAUUCAUGAUAUAAUUGUAAAUUGAUUAGUGAUGUUAGAUAAUGAAUGUUUGAAGUGUUAAUUACAAGUUUUACUAGAUGAAUUUCAAUGAAAAAUGUUGAAAAAGGGCUAAAUUGUGAAAGAUGGUAAAGUGUGCAUAAAGUUGUGAUUUUGUGAAAUUGAGGGCUGUUAUGAGCAUGAAAUAUGUUUUAGUGAAGUUUGAAAUUUAAGAAUUUAGUGAAUUUUAUUUUUACGAGCUUAGGGACAAAAGUGGAAUUUUUGAAAAGUUAUGGGGAAAAAUGUAAAUGUGUCAAAAUGUUGUGUAUGAAUUGUAUUUGAAUGGAAUAUUGAUAAAAUGUAUUAAAUUGUGUUAAUAUAGAUCAAGAAAGAAGAAAUAGUGCAAGUGAUCGGGGAUAAGAGAAAGUUAUCGACUAAAUUACAAAAAUAGUCGUUUUGCAUCCGAGGUAAGUUAUAUGUAAAUAAUAGUUAUAUUUGUAUAAAUUGUGAAUUAUAUUUGAUAUGUGAAUUAAUAUUGAAUGUGGAAGGAAAGUUGUUCAUGAAUUAUUCAAGUGAUAAAGUGUUGAAAAUAAAGUGUUAAGUGUAAAUUCCCGGUUGAACUUAGGAAUAGAAUUGGAUACAAGUGACAUGUCACUAGAGACCAGUGUUACAGUGUUACAGUGUUACAGUGAGUCCCGGGUGCUGGGUGAUCUAGCAUGUGUUGCAGACACCUGACAGCUUGUGUGAGCAGGCCCGUGGACAUUUCCAGUGUUAUUGAUCAGUGGUAGCUUCGGCUACAUUUCAGUGGUAGCUUCGGCUACAUAUCAGUGGUAGCUUCGGCUACAUAUCAGUGUGGCACUUAUGUGCUAAAUCUCUACGUAUCCGUGUAUAUUCCAAGUGUUCAACAGGAUUAAUAAUGAAUUAAAGUGAAUAUGAAAUGUUAAGUGUGAAAUGUAUAUGCAAGUGAAUUGGUAAGAUUGUGUAUGUGUAAGUGAUUGAAAUUGCUAAGAAAUGUUUUGAUUAGUUAUAUGUUAAAAGUGUUAAUUAUUAAAUGAGUAAUUAUUAUUUACAUGUAACUUACUAAGCUAUUUAUAGCUUACACAUCUCUUUCUUUCCUUUGUUUUAUAGUGAUUUGAACUUGAUCGAAUAGUGGACCGUCGGAGCUCGUAUCACACUAUCAUAACCAUCUCGGUAUUAUGUGCUUUUCAAAAUGUUUAAACUAUGGCAUGUAUAGAGUCUUAAUCAUUUUGAGCAUGUCCAAAUGAUAUGGCUAAUGUUAGCUAUUGAAGUAGUUAUUAAAGAAUAUGUUUUGGAGUUAUGUAUGUUUAAAUGGUAACUAAUUCAAAGAAGCAGUUUCUUUGACAGCAGCAGUGACGUGAAUGUGAAAAAUCACCAUAAAUAGUAGAAAUGUAAUUAGAGGGUGAAUGAUAUAUAUAAUUAAAGCUUAUCAAGUCUAUUUUUACAUGAAAGAAACAGUGUAGGCAAAGGAAUUUUAUAUUUUGAGAUAUUUAAAUUUUAGUGAGACAGGGUCAGAAUGGUUUUUGAAGUCCCCUGUUAUAACUUUAGAAAAUCAUUAUAAAUUGUACAGAAAUAAUUAUAGGUCAUAAUUUAUAUGUUUAGAUUCCUUAGUGAGUCUAUUUUCAAAAUAAAUUAAUUUUAACCUUAUAUGAAUUCUGUACAAUUAGAUAUUUGAUUUUUAGCGCCAAGAGGUCAGAUCUGUCGAGCUGUGAAACAGGGGAUACUUUAAUGAAUAAACUGUACUAAUUUGCUAAGUCAAAAAUUCUGAAAAUUUUAUGGUAAGUAGGAAUAUGAGUCUAGUUUCACGUAAAAUUUACGGAUUUAAAUUUUGAGUUUCGUAACUCAAGUUAUAAUUAAAUUAGUGACAGUUGCGCAGGUGGACAGUGUUGUUAUGAACAGUGAAUUUAAUUUUAAAAGCAAAUUUUUAUGCUCCGAAUCGGUAAGUUAAAUUGGAUGACAUCUCGUACUCGAUUCUGGCGACGGUCUCGGGUAAGGGGUGUUACAUUUAGUGGUAUCAGAGCUACGGUUUAGUCGAUUCUCAGACUAACGUAGCGAGUGUAAUAGACUAUCUAUACAUGCCAUAAUUGAAUAAUGAUAGUGUGACGACUCCUGACAUCUUAAAAUGUUUUUUUUAUAUAGUAAUAGAUUCUAACCGAGAUACAGCUGAUGAUGCUCAAAGUAAUGCGCCUGUUGAAAGUCGAUUCGAGACUCAGGGUCAAGGAGAUGAGGCUCGAGAAGCUUUUCUCCAAAUGAUGAACAAUUGGUACACUGAGUUUGUUAGAACUAAUCCUAAUGCUCAACCUCCUCCGCCCCCUCCUAUUCCUCAAGCUGUUCCCAUAGCUCCUCAACAAACUGAAGUGUUAAGAUUGUCAAAGCCUCCAGUGGAUAAAAUUCGAAACUAUGGAGCCGAAGAGUUCCGAGCUAAUGUAAAUGAUGAUCCUGAAAGAGCAGAGUUCUGGCUUGAUAAUACUAUCAGAGUGUUGGAUGAAUUAUCUUGUACUCCAGAAGAAAGUCUCAAAUGUGCUAUCUCAUUGCUGAGGGAUUCGUCUUAUAAUUGGUGGAAAACUUUAGUGUCAGUGGUGCCUAAAGAGAAAGUUACAUGGGACUUCUUUCAAGAAGAAUUCCGGAAGAAGUAUGUGAGUCAGCGUUUCAUUGAUCAAAAGAGAAAAGAGUUUCUUGAAUUGAAACAAGGGCGCAUGACGGUAGCCGAAUAUGAGUGAGAAUUUGUCAAAUUAAGCAAGUAUGCCCAAGAGUGUGUAUCUAAUGAAGCUACAUUGUGUAAAAGGUUUGAAGAUGGAUUAAACGAGGAUAUCCGAUUGCUAGUGGGAAUUCUUGAAAUUAAAGAGUUAGUGGUACUAGUUGAAAGAGCUAUCAAGGCUGAAGAAUUGAGCAAAGAGAAAAGAAAGGUGGAAAGUGAAGCAAGAGAUGCAAGAAAAAGAUCAAUGGGCAAGCCAUUUCAGUCUCAAGCGAAGAAGUUUAAAGAAAUGAAUACUCGAUCGAAUGUUUCUAGUGUGAAUUUUCAAAGAGAUCGAGGAAGACAAUAUUCAGGUUCUAAAGCUCAGGCAACUUCUAUGGCAAGUACAGGUAGUGUUAAACCUACUAGACCGGAAUGUCAACAUUGUGGAAAACGACAUUUGGGGGAAUGUUAUUUAAUCAGCCGAGCUUGUUUUAAAUAUGGAUCUCAAGAUCAUUUUGUGAAAGAUUGUCCGGAAAGAGAAGAGAUAGAAAAGUUUCAGAAUGUGAGAUCGAGCAGUGUGACUACUAGAGGAAGACCACAGAGAAAUGUGGGGAUUGGAACUAGUGGUAGAGGCGUAACAAAAGACACGACUGUAAGAUCUAAAGUGGGAGCUCCAGCAAGAGCUUAUGCCAUCCGAGCUAGAGAGGAAGCAUCUUCUCCUGAUGUGAUCACUGGUAUAUUUUCUCUUUACGACACUAAUGUUCUUGCAUUGAUUGAUCCUGGUUCUACUCACUCGUAUGUAUGCAUGAAUUUAGUGUCUGAUAAGAAUUUGUGUGUUGAAUUGACUGAGUAUGUGGUUAAAGUGUCGAAUCCUUUAGGCAAGCAUGUGAUAGUUGAUAAAAUAUACAAAAAUUGUCCUUUGAUUAUACAAGGUCAGUGUUUCCCUGCCAACUUAAUGUUGUUGCCAUUUGAUGAAUUUGAUGUUAUUUUGGGAAUGGAUUGGUUGACAUUACAUAAGGCCAACAUAGAUUGCAGUCAGAAAAUUCUUGAGUUGAAGUGUGGUAGUGGUACAGUUCUUCGGGUUGAAACAGAUAAGUCAAAUGUGAUGCCAAUUGUGAUUUCUGCCAUGUCUGCUCAGAAAUGUUUGAAAAAUGGUUGUGAAGCAUAUCUUGCUUAUGUGUUGAACACAAAAGUGUCUGAAAUAAAGAUCGAAUCAGUGCUAGUGGUAUGUGAAUAUGUAGAUGUGUUCCCAGAAGAGUUGCCAGGUUUGCCUCCGAUUAGAGAAGUAGAGUUUGGUAUUGAAGUAAUGCCAGGUACUGCUCCAAUAUCGAUUGCUCCCUACAGAAUGGCACCAACUGAAUUAAAAGAAUUAAAAGUGCAAUUACAAGAGCUGACAGAUAAAGGAUUUGUUAGACCAAGUUACUCUCCGUGGGGUGCUCCCGUGCUAUUUGUGAAGAAAAAGGAUGGGACAUUGAGAUUGUGUAUUGAUUAUCGUCAACUUAACAAAGUGACAGUGAAGAAUAAGUAUCCAUUACCCCGAAUAGAUGACUUGUUUGAUCAGUUAAAGGAUGCCACAGUGUUUUCCAAAAUUGAUUUGAGAUCCAGAUAUUAUCAAUUGAGGGUUAAAGAGUCAGAUGUGCCAAAGACUGCUUUCAGAACCCGAUAUGGCCACUAUGAAUUUCUUGUAAUGCCUUUUGGUCUGACUAAUGCUCCAGCUAUUUUUAUGGAUUUGAUGAAUCGAAUUUUCCGGCCCUAUUUGGAUAAAUUUGUUGUGGUGUUUAUAGAUGAUAUUCUUAUUUAUUCCCGAAGUGAAGCCGAGCAUGCUGAACAUUUAAGAAUUGUGCUACAAACACUGCGAGAAAAGAAAUUGUUUGCUAAAUUUAGCAAAAGUGAAUUUUGGCUUAGUGAAGUUGGAUUUUUGGGGCAUAUUGUCUCGGGAGAUGGCAUUCGAGUGGAUCCGAAUAAGAUAUCGGCAAUAGUUGAGUGGAAACCUCCAAGAAAAGUAUCUGAAGUUAGGAGUUUUUUGGGCUUAGCCGGAUAUUAUCGUCGAUUUGUAGAAGGUUUUUCGAUGAUAGCUUCACCGAUGACAAAAUUGUUGCAAAAAGAUGUUAAGUUCGAAUGGACCGAGGAGUGUCAACAAAGUUUUGAGAAAUUAAAGAAGUGUUUAACUGAGGCACCAGUGUUAGUGCAACCCGAGUCAGGAAAAGAAUUUGUUGUUUACAGUGACGCGUCGUUGAAUGGGCUUGGAUGUGUAUUGAUGCAAGAAGGAAAAGUGAUAGCGUAUGCUUCUCGACAAUUGAAACCGCAUGAACGAAAUUAUCCUACCCAUGAUUUAGAGUUGGAUGCUAUUGUCUUUGCUUUGAAGAUUUGGCGUCAUUAUUUAUAUGGUGAGAAAUGUCAUGUUUUUACAGAUCAUAAAAGUUUGAAGUAUGUUAUGACACAAAAAGAUCUGAAUUUGCGGCAACGAAGAUGGUUGGAAUUGAUGAAAGAUUAUGAACUUGUGAUAGAUUAUCAUCCGGGAAAAGCCAAUACAGUUGCUGAUGCUUUGAGCAGAAAGUCUCUCUUUGCUUUGAGAGCUUUGAAUACGAGAUUAACAUUGACUGAAGAUGGAUCAUUGUUUGCAGAGUUAAAAGCUAGACCAUUGUUUCUUCAAGAAAUUUGUGAGGCUCAGAAAGUGGAUAAUGAAUUGCAAAGAAGAAAGACUCAGUGUGCAGUGGACAAUAAUUCUGAUUUUCAGAUUGAUUCAGAUGGAUGUUUAAUGUUUCGUGAUAGAAUAUGUGUUCCGAAAAAUGUUGAUUUAAUUCAGAAAAUUUUGCAAGAAGCACAUGAUAGUCAUUUGGCAGUUUACCCCGGUAGUGUAAAAAUGUACAAUGAUUUGAAGAAAUUUUAUUGGUGGUCGGGUAUGAAACGGGAUAUCUCCGAGUAUGUGACAAAGUGUUUAGUGUGCCAACAAGUAAAAGCUGAACACCAAGUACCUUCAGGAUUACUUCAACCUAUUAUGGUGCCCGAGUGGAAAUGGGAUAGAAUUACUAUGGAUUUUGUUUCUGGAUUGCCAUUGUCACCGAAAAAGAAAGACUCAAUUUGGGUUAUAGUUGAUCGAUUGACUAAGUCGGCUCAUUUCAUUCCUGUGCGAAUGAGUUUUUCACUUGACAAGUUAGCUGAAUUGUAUAUUGAUGAGAUAGUCCGAUUACAUGGUGUACCUAUGUCUAUUAUAUCUGAUAGAGAUCCACGAUUUACUUCAAGGUUUUGGAAGAAAUUACAAGAGGCAUUGGGUACUAAAUUGAAUUUUAGUACAGCAUUCCAUCCCCAAACCGAUGGACAGUCUGAAAGAGUAAUUCAAAUACUCGAAGACAUGUUGAGAUGUUGUGUAUUGGAAUUUGAAGGUAAUUGGGAAAGAUAUUUACCUUUGGUGGAAUUUGCUUAUAAUAAUAGUUAUCAGUCAAGCAUAAAAAUGGCACCUUAUGAAGCGUUGUAUGGACGAAAGUGUCGGACUCCAUUAUAUUGGACUGAACUUAAUGAAAAUCAGUUACAUGGAGUCGAUUUGGUAAAAGAAACCGAAGAAAAAGUGAAGAUAAUCCGUGAUUGUUUGAAAGCUGCAUCGGAUCGACAGAAGUCGUAUGCGGACUUGAAAAGAAAAGAGAUUGAGUUUCAAGUGGGAGAUAAAGUAUUUUUGAAAGUGUCUCCAUGGAAGAAAAUUUUGAGAUUUGGCCGUAAAGGCAAAUUAAGUCCAAGAUUUAUUGGUCCGUAUGAAGUGAUAGAAAGAAUUGGUCCAGUGGCUUAUCGAUUGUCUUUACCACCGGAAUUGGAAAAAAUUCAUAAUGUGUUUCAUGUUUCUAUGUUGAGGCGAUAUCGAUCGGACCCAUCACAUGUGAUUUCACCGACUGAAGUGGAAAUUCGAUCGGAUAUGACAUACGAAGAAGAACCGAUUCGAAUCUUGGCACGAGAAGUGAAACAGUUGAGAAACAAAGAAAUUGCUUUAGUGAAAGUGUUAUGGCAACGACAUGGGGUGGAAGAGGCAACAUGGGAAACCGAGGAGGCUAUGAGGAAACAGUAUCCCAACUUAUUCACUGGUAAGAUUUUCGGGGACGAAAAUCCCUAAGGGGGAGAAUUGUGAUAGCCCGAAAUAGGGCCUAAUCGGAAUAGUGGUUUCAUAACCACAAAUCCGAAGUGAAAUAGUUUAAUUUUAUAAAUUUUUAUUAGUUACUGAUUGAUUGAAAUAUUGUGUGAAAAUAUGGAUAGGAAAUUUUAAUGCUUUAGUGCUUAAUUGAAUUUUUAGGACUAAAUUGAGAAAAAUACAAAGUGUGUCUAAUUAGUGAUUAAAUGACUUAAUUGAAUUAUUGCAUGAAAUUGGAAGUGUUUAUGUGGCAAUUAGACCAUAAAUUAGUGUUAUGGACACAAAAAGGUAUUUCUAGAAAAAUAUCUAAGUAAUGGGUCAAGGGCAUUUUUGUCCAAAUUGGGUAAAAGACAAAAUAAAGAGAAAAUAAGUGUCCAUCUUCUUCAAAAAUCAGAAGCUUGCUGCCGAAAGUUUCAUGUUACCAUAGUUAAGGGUUUUGAUUUUCCUAAGCUCAAUUGUAAGUAAUUUCUUGCCCCGUUUUUAAUUAUUUUCGUAUUUUUAUGCUUAUUGAAGCUUGAAUUUCAUGUUUCUACCAUUUAAUUUAAAUGAAAUUAAAGUUUAAAAAUUGACCCAUUCAUGAUAUAAUUGUAAAUUGAUUAGUGAUGUUAGAUAAUGAAUGUUUGAAGUGUUAAUUACAAGUUUUACUAGAUGAAUUUCAAUGAAAAAUGUUGAAAAAGGGCUAAAUUGUGAAAGAUGGUAAAGUGUGCAUAAAGUUGUGAUUUUGUGAAAUUGAGGGCUGUUAUGAGCAUGAAAUAUGUUUUAGUGAAGUUUGAAAUUUAAGAAUUUAGUGAAUUUUAUUUUUACGAGCUUAGGGACAAAAGUGGAAUUUUUGAAAAGUUAUGGGGAAAAAUGUAAAUGUGUCAAAAUGUUGUGUAUGAAUUGUAUUUGAAUGGAAUAUUGAUAAAAUGUAUUAAAUUGUGUUAAUAUAGAUCAAGAAAGAAGAAAUAGUGCAAGUGAUCGGGGAUAAGAGAAAGUUAUCGACUAAAUUACAAAAAUAGUCGUUUUGCAUCCGAGGUAAGUUAUAUGUAAAUAAUAGUUAUAUUUGUAUAAAUUGUGAAUUAUAUUUGAUAUGUGAAUUAAUAUUGAAUGUGGAAGGAAAGUUGUUCAUGAAUUAUUCAAGUGAUAAAGUGUUGAAAAUAAAGUGUUAAGUGUAAAUUCCCGGUUGAACUUAGGAAUAGAAUUGGAUACAAGUGACAUGUCACUAGAGACCAGUGUUACAGUGUUACAGUGUUACAGUGAGUCCCGGGUGCUGGGUGAUCUAGCAUGUGUUGCAGACACCUAACAGCUUGUGUGAGCAGGCCCGUGGACAUUUCCAGUGUUAUUGAUCAGUGGUAGCUUCGGCUACAUUUCAGUGGUAGCUUUGGCUACAUUCAGUGGUAGCUUCGGCUACAUAUCAGUGGUAGCUUCGGCUACAUAUCAGUGUGGCCCUUAUGUGCUAAAUCUCUACGUAUCCGUGUAUAUUCCAAGUGUUCAACGGGAUUAAUAAUGAAUUAAAGUGAAUAUGAAAUGUUAAGUGUGAAAAUGUAUAUGCAAGUGAAUUGGUAAGAUUGUGUAUGUGUAAGUGAUUGAAAUUGCUAAGAAAUGUUUUGAUUAGUUAUAUGUUAAAAGUGUUAAUUAUUAAAUGAGUAAUUAUUGUUUACAUGUAACUUACUAAGCUAUUUAUAGCUUACACAUCUCUUUCUUUCCUUUGUUUUAUAGUGAUUUGAACUUGAUCGAAUAGUGGACCGUCGGAGCUCGUAUCACACUAUCAUAACCAUCUCGGUAUUAUGUGCUUUUCAAAAUGUUUAAACUAUGGCAUGUAUAGAGUCUUAAUCAUUUUGAGCAUGUCCAAAUGAUAUGGCUAAUGUUAGCUAUUGAAGUAGUUAUUAAAGAAUAUGUUUUGGAGUUAUGUAUGUUUAAAUGGUAACUAAUUCAAAGAAGCAGUUUCUUUGACAGCAGCAGUGACGUGAAUGUGAAAAAUCACCAUAAAUAGUAGAAAUGGAAUUAGAGGGUGAAUGAUAUAUAUAAUUAAAUCUUAUCAAGUCUAUUUUUAAAUGAAAGAAACGGUGUAGCCAAAGGAAUUUUAUAUUUUGAGAUAUUUAAAUUUUAGUGAGACAGGGUCAGAAUGGUUUUUGAAGUCCCCUGUUAUAACUUUAGAAAAUCAUUAUAAAUUGUACAGAAAUAAUUAUAGGUCAUAAUUUAUAUGUUUAGAUUCCUUAGUGAGUCUAUUUUCAAAAUAAAUUAAUGGUAACCUUAUAUGAAUUCUGUACAAUUAGAUAUUUGAUUUUUAGUGCCAAGAGGUCAGAUCUGUCGAGCUGUGAAACAGGGGAUACUUUAAUGAAUAAACUGUACUAAUUUGCUAAGUCAAAAAUUCUGAAAAUUUUAUGGUAAGUAGGAAUAUGAGUCUAGUUUCACGGAAAAUUUACGGAUUUAAAUUUUGAGUUUCGUAACUCAAGUUAUAAUUAAAUUAGUGACAGUUGCGCAGGUGGACAGUGUUGUUAUGAACAGUGAUUUAAUUUUAAAAGCAAAUUUUUAUGCUCCGAAUCGGUAAGUUAAAUUGGAUGACAUCUCGUACUCGAUUCCGGCGACGGUCUCGGGUAAGGGGUGUUACACUAAAAAUUUGGAUUUUAAGGACUAAAUUAUAAAAAUAAAAUAAAAUUGAAAUAUAAGGGGAUAUUUUAUUCAACAGUGAAAGAGCUUCUCCUCUGUUGCCGUGAAAGCUUCCCCUUUUUAUUUCUUCGAUAGCGAAGACAAUGAACAAAAUCUUAUCAGCUUAGAAAGUGUCUUACGGAAAAAAUUUGGUAUUACAAUAUUUACUUCUCUAUUAUAUUGCUCAAUACAUUCACGGAUAAUAUUACUAAUUUUGGCGGCUCUAAUAGUUACCAUGAGUAUUUCCUAAUUAUUUUUUGAAAGAAAAAAAAAUAAUGCCUACAAUCUACAAUAAAGUAAAAGGUAAGAAAAAGGCUAAUAAAUUAUUUCCUUCAUCACCCCAAACAAGCUAAUAUUAACACUAAUGGUGGGUGCGUAAAUGUAACUCAUUGUUUACAGAACUAUUUGAAGUUCCUAAAGCUUCUUGUAAAGCUUGUUAGAAAACCUGUUGUUGGGCUUAAUUAAUCGCUCUUUGUUGUUCAAAAUAAAUGGUUUCAUUUUUGUAAUUUUCUAAUUGUUUUAAAAUCUUAUAAAUUGAAUUAAUCAAAUUCAAUUUUUCUCGUUCUAUCUCAUAGAAAACUUUGAUUUUAUCCUCUUUUUGGAGAAUGAUUUCUUUUGAUAAUUUAUUUUUUACCAAACAAACAUUUUAAAAUAAUAAAAAUAUUGUAUGGAAAAUAUUUUACAUGCAAAACAAACAGACCAUGGGUAAAUUUUUUUAAUAUAAAUUACGUUAAAAUAAAGAUAGUUUAUUAUAUAUAAAAGUAAAAUGUGUGCAAACUGCAAAUUCCAAUGGGUGCCAGCCAUACUUGAACUACUAUUUACCGGUGGCCGGGUUAUAAAUAAUAGUUGUCUUGACAGUUGGCCCAUUAGUGUAAGAUUUGUUAAUUUGAAUAAACUGGAAGCCCAAAUCUGACUGAUUUAGGUCAUGAAUCGCAGUGUAGAAAAAACCAUUGAAGCUGGCCCAUACCCAGAUGAUAAUCGAAUAUCGAUGGUAAUGACUGAUUUGAUUUCCUCAUUAUUUUUUAAAGAUCAAAAGAAAAUAAUGUUUUAUGCUAUUCUCAAGUUGAGAUUUGGAUGUUUUUUUGUCCAUUUUGCGGAUGGCAUUGGAAAAUUCCCCCAUACUCACCGGAGACGGAUGAUAAUGUCCAAAUGCACCCCCACUCCAACUUUUCUUGGUGGGUUAGUCUUUUUAAUCUCAUCGAGGGCGAGGCGACUACAAUGGGAGUUUUAUUAGGGAAUGAUUUUCUUCCAUAAUUCUUGUUUUACCACUUCAAAAUUUCAUCCGUAUGUGAAGACAUGAAUUUCAAAUAAACGAAAAAAGAAAAUCAUCAAAACUAAAUUAUUACAACCCUAUUUCCCACUCAAAAGACGUGAUUGAUCUAAAUUUGAUUGAUCUAACUUGUUAAGGUAGUUGUAGUUAGUGGUAGAGUCAAGAAGUUGGUAACCGCUUGAUUUUCCUAAAUUGAAAAAAAAUUAUUUAUAUUUUUUUAUAACCUAAAAUAUUUUAAAUUAAUGAUAAUAAAAUUGUACUUUGUUUUCUUAAAAAAUGAUAAUAAAUUUAUUUAAACACUAAAAAAUAUUAAUUUUUCUAAAAGAAUAAAUUAUUUUUCAAACAUUAUUUUUCGAACUAAAUAUAAACCUCAUAUAGUAUAUUAAGCCAGCAACAAUAUUAGGCUAUUUUAUCAAACUAGUCCAAAAAAUAUUAUAUUUACAAAAAUAACCUAGGUUUAAAAACAAUCACCAAAAUAACCUAAAAGGAACAGUAAAAUUAGGUUGUGGCCUGUCAAUGGCCGGAACUCAUGUAUUUUUUAAAUUGUAUAAUACUGAUAUACGAAAAAGGGAAAAAAGAAAAACAAAAAAAAAUUUGGGUGCUGGCUUGUCAAUGGCCGGCACCCAGUACAAUUUAAAAAAAAAUUUGUGUCAGAGUCAGAUAUCAGUAUACGAAAAAAAAUAAAAAAAAUUUUGGGUGUUGGCCUGUCAAUGGCCGGCACCCAGUACAAUUUAAAAAAAAUUCUUUUUUUUUUCGUGUCAGAAUCAAAUAUCAGUAUACGAAAAAAAUUAAAAAAAAUUUAGGUGCUUAAAAAAAAAAUUUCCUGUCAGAAUCAGAUAUCAAUAUACGAAAAAAAUAAAAAAAUAAAAAUUUUUGGGUACUGGCCUGUCAAUGGCCGGCACCCAGUACAAUUUAAAAAAAAUUUCUUUUUUUUUCGUGUCAGAAUCAGAUAUCAGUAUACAAAAAAAAUGAAAAAAAAUUUUGGGUGCUGGCCUAUCAAUGGCCGGCACCCAGUACAAAUUUUAAAAAAAAAAAAAAUUUCGUGUCAGAAUCAGAUAUCAGUAUACGAAAAAAUAAAAAAAAAAUUGGUGCUGGCCUGUCAAUGGCCGGCACCCAGUACAUUUAAAAAAAAUUUCUUUUUUUUUCGUGUCAGAAUCAGAUAUCAGUAUACGAAAAAAAUAAAUAUAAUUAUAUAUAAACGAUAACACAACGGUAACAUAUAGAAUUUAUCAACGGUUAUUAGCUCUCUAUAUUAAACAUUUUAAUAGAACAAUUUAUGUAAGGUUAGAUUAAAUUAAUGAAAAUUUGAAAAAGAAAAUUUUGUUCUCAAGAAACAUUACAUGGAAAUGUAACUUUUUUAAUCUUUAAAAUUGUAUUGCUAAGUGGACCUUAAUCGAAGAUGCAAGAAUUAAAGAAAUAAGAUUUAAAUUCUGUCAUAGAAAUUCUGAAAAAAAUUUAACCUUAAUGUAUCGAAAAAUAUGCGCUAUUAAUCACACAAUUAUCUAGAAAUUGCAAACAUUUAAAUUUUGUUCACAUAUUAGUUGCCUUUUUUUUUCUAUUUCCUCCUAUUUACUAUUACAAAAUUAAAAUCCCUCAAGUCCUAUAUAUUUUUUGUAAAUUUAGAAUUUAGUUUGUAUAUUUUUAUUUUUAAGAAUUUAGUCCUUAUAUUUUUAAAUAUUACGAAGUCAUAUAUUCAAACAAAUAAUUAUGUUAGAUUCAUUAAAUAAAUAUUAAAAAAAGAAAAAAUGUAAAAAUAAAAGAAAUAUUUACAUAAUAAAUUUUAAGAAAAUAAAAAUUAACAUAAAAAAUUAAAAUUGUCGCGAUCCUAAGGACGUCCCCGGCGCUGGCGUGUAACGAUCCGAAUGCCUCCGUCGGCGAUGCCGUGCACCUUGCUGAGGCUUUUGAUAAUUGCUCAGUCCAGAGUCCUGUGUCCCUUCCGGUGUAGUUAAAAAGGUGGAAUAAUUAUAUUCACCAUAAUCGGGACUUAAUUGGUAUUGCUUGACCGGAGGUGCCGAUGGAAAAAUAUCCUCAGUGGUGGGUGUACGUGCUUCGGGGUGAAAGUCCGGGUGGUAUGAGGAUGACGAUCCGGAUCGUGUCGGAUGUUGACGGUGGAGGUUGUCACCAAAAAAAUCUUCAAAUGAUGGAGGAACUUCAUGCACUGGAUCCGAAUCUAUGAACUGUGAUGAUGAUUCGUAUGCUUCAUUUUCGGCCUCGAGUUUGGCCUCGAAUGGCGGAACUCGGUUACUACGCGGUUGGGCGUUCCUUGGUAUUGGGUGCCGGCCAUUGACAGGCCAGCACCCAAAUUUUUUUUUUAUUUUUUCGUAUAUUGAUAUCUGAUUCUGACACGAAAAAAAAUUUUUAAUUUGUACUGGGUGCCGGCACCCAAAAUUUUUUUAUUUUUUUCGUAUACUGAUAUCUGAUUCUGACACGAAAAAAAAGAAAAAAAAAUUAUUUUUAAAUUGUACUGGGUACUGGCCAUUGACAGGCCAGUACCUAAAAUUUUUUUUAUUUUUUUCGUAUACUGAUAUUUGAUUCUGACACGAAAAAAAAAAAGAAAUUUUUUUUAAAAUUGUACUGGGUGCCGGCCAUUGACAGGCCAGCACCCAAAAUUUUUUUUUUCGUAUACUAAUAUCUGAUUCUGACACGAAAAAAAAUUUUAAUUUGUACUGGGUGCCGGCACCCAAAUUUUUUUUUAUUUUUUUCGUAUACUGAUAUCUGAUUCUGAAACGAAAAAAAAGAAAUUUUUUUUAAAUUGUACUGGGUGCCGGCCAUUGACAGGUCAACACCCAAAUUUUUUUUUAUUGUUUUCGUAUACUGAUAUCUGACUCUGACACAAAAAAACACAAAAAAAGAAUUUCUUUUUAAAUUGUACUGGGUGCCAGCCAUUGACAGACUAGCACCUAAAUUUUUUUUUUGUUUUUCUUUUUUUUCUCUUUUUCGUAUAUCAGUAUUAUACAAUUUUAAAAAAAUACAUGGGUUUCGACCAUUGACAGACCAAAAUCUAAAAAAUUAAUUUUUUUAAGUCUGACACAAUUAUUAAGCAAUCAUGGGUGCAAAAUACGAGUUGGUUCCGGCUAUUGACAGGCCACAACCUAAUUUUACUGUUCCUUUUAGAUUAUUUUGAUGAUUGUUUUUAAACCUGACUUAUUUUUGUAAAUAUAAUAUUUUUUUGGACUAAUUUGAUAAAAUAGCCCCAAUAUUAGCACAUGCAACGAUUGCCUUUUGGUUUUCAUUGACAACGUGAGGAGCCUCUGACGUAUCCUUUGGUGUACUUCAGGCCCAUAUUAGGUGAGGCAUUUAGGAAUCAGUUGAUGUGUAUAUGAUGGAAUCCUUACCUAUGAUAACCGAACGCAAACAUUUUAUCCUACUAAAUAUUGCCAAUUAUUAAUCAUUUUAUUUCGGACUCAAAAUGAGAUGCAAUCGAUAUAUCCCACACUGGAUAUACAUGUCGCCUUUCUGUUGCAAUCGGCCAUAUGCCAUUUGGGACCUGCUUCAGCUCAUUUGUCUCCAUUUGAUUUUUAAUUUUUUUUAUUAAUUUAAUACUUGAGUUUAGUUUUAAUGUUUUAUUUGAUAUUUGACCUUUUUUUUAAUUGAUACUUAAGUUUUUUUUCUGUACAAUCAGUUAAAUUUAAUUUCAAUAUUCAAUUUGAUACAUUAAUUUUUCUUUUAAAAUAUGAGAUGUAUUAAGAUAUAUCAUAAAAAAAAUUUAAAACACCAAGAGUAAAAUAUACGCAACAAAACUGUAAUACGUGCAUUAAAAUUUAUAUAAAUUUUAAUUGAGCCAUUAUUUACACAAAAUCCGAAAGUAAAAUAAAAUUAACGUGAAUAUGAUGCAUAUAAAUGAACAUGCAAAAUCUACAUAAAUCAAAUUGUUAACGUAUAAAAAGUAUAAUAAUUUGAACACUAACUUGAAAUAUUCUAAAAUAAAUAUAUUUUAAAAAUUAAAGAUUAGUUACAAUUAAAUAAUUAAAUUAACCUAAGGACAAAUCAUACUCUAUUAUUCCGAAACACCUUUCCUUAGUAGUACGCACAUGCUACCACCAUCUAUUCUAUGGCUAAUUAAAUAUUAAAAAAUAUUAUUAUGUCGUCAAAUUCUGAAAUUCUAGAUAGAGAAUUUUUUGGGAACAACUUUAACAUUAGGGUAUAGAUUUGAUUUGAAAUUAAAAAUUUAAUAUACUACCUAAGAAUAAAGGAAGGAAAUGUUCUUCGAAAAAAAAACAAAGAGAGAAGGAGAUGUAUACGUAUGCGAAUAUCAUAUUUUAGAAGCAAUUUUAUAUAUAUCAAAUUACUUUAUUUGGUUGAAAUGUAAUUUAUGCUGUUUGGCUAGUGGAAUGUAAAAUUACUUAAAAAAUAUUUUAUUAAAUUAUUUUCAAUUAUAAACAAAUAUAAAAAGAGAACAAAAGUUAAAUAUGAAAAUAUAUAAUAUACUUUUUUUCAAGUGAAGAAUGAAAAAGUCAGUUAUAAUAAGUAAUAUAAUUGAUAUGUGAAACUUUUAAUGAACUAAUAUAAUUAAUUACAAAAAGUUAUUGGACUUUAAAGUUGAAGAUGAAAAAUGGAGUGUUAUUCGUACUCGGCAGAAAAUCCUUAUUACAGGACCAAGUUUACUGCUUCAACAAAUAUUUAUUCCAAUUUCAGAUGGACAACAACAAAGAGUUCACCCCCUCCAUUCCAACAACAAUUAAGGAUAUGAUUUUUCCUUACCAACAAAUCCUACCCUUCAAGUUCAAGGCGGUUGGUAAAUGCCCCACACCUAUCUGCUUCUUUUCAUCAUUUCUUCUGACUUGUUUUUAGUUUUCUAAUUUUAUACAAUCAUUUUUUUCAGAAAACAUAAAAUCAGUUUUAAUCUAUUGGUUUCUCCAACAUCAUUUUUUCUGACUUGUUUUUCGUUUCUCACAUUAUAUUUUUAAAUAUAUCAUCAAUUCUUUUAUACAAUUAACCGGUAAAUUCACAAACAUAAAAUUUAACUCCAAUUUUUCAUCAAAAAGAGUUCAAUUUCAUUAACUAUGGAAAUUCAAUUCACCAAUUAUUCCCAUCUCUAUUUUUUUCCUCAAAAGAUAAAAAUAAUUGCAAAAUAUAAAAAAAAAUUAAUAAUGUUGAGAAAGAAGAGAUCAUUUCCUUUUACGUUUAUUUUUUUAUAUUUUUCCUAUAAUUAAGAAUAAAAAUAAAAAAUUUAUUAAUUAGAUUCUUAAUAUUAUUUAAAUUUUUUUCCAAAAAUAAAAUAAAUGUGAUUGGGUUAGGUAUACAUUAUUUUAAGUUAAAUUAUGGUUGGGAUCUCUCUAUUUUGUUUAAUUUUAAGAAAAUGGUCCCUAUACUUUUAUAGUAUCAUUAAUGAGUACAAUUGUAGUUAACGCUCUUAGUUAUUUUGGUUUAAUUGUUGAAGCGAAAUUUUUUCUGAAAAGUACGGAUUUUAAUUUAUCAUAUAGAGAUAGAUAUUUUUGCAUGGUAGGUGUUUUAAAAAGAACUUAUCUCCGCAUUUUAUCAAAAUAGCUAUGGAUACCAUGCAUAUCUUAUGGAAUGGAACUCCAACUCAGAAGUUUCGAUCGGUAAGAGGUGUACAUUAGGGAUUUCCAUUGUCUCUUUAUUUAUUUGUCAUGUGUAUGGGAUGGCUCGGACAUACUAUUCUUUCCGAUGUCAACUCUAGGUGAUUGAUUCCUAUUUGUCUAUCUCGUUCAGGUCCCUUUCUUUCCCAUCUUUUCUUUGCUGAUGACCUGAUUCUCUUUGGUCAAGUUCAGGAAAAUCAAGCUAGGGUUUUAAAAGAAGUGUUGGACAAUUUUUGUGACUAUUCUGGACACAGGAUUAAUGCUUAUAAAACUAAUAUAUAUUUUUCAAAGGGAGUGAAUGAUGAGUUAGCAGGACACUUAUGUCAUAUCCUUGGGUUUCAUAGAGUUCAAAAUCUUGGAAAAUAUUUGGGGGUUCCUCUCUUUCACAAUAGAGUGACUAACAAUACCUUGCGUUUUGUCGUUGAUAACGUCCGUAGUAAAUUGCAAAGUUGGGACGCCAGGAAGUUGUCGCUAGCCGGAAGGGCCACUUUGGCCCAGUCAAUUUUGAUGGCGAUUCCCAGUUAUUUUAUGCAAUCAAUGACGAUUCCCAAAGGGCUCUGUGAGGAAAUAGAAUGAAUUGGUUAGACAGUUCAUUUGGGGGUCUUCUAAUGGUGAGAAGAAAUUGGCUUUGGUUAGUUGGGACAACAUUUGCCAACCUCGAGAUCAUGGUGGUCUAGGUUUCUGAAAGUUGAAAGAUCACAACACCUCUUUUAUGAUGAAAUUGGGCUAUAAUAUUAUAACUGAUUCUAAGGCUCUUUGGGUUCAGAUUCUAAGGUCCGAAUAUGGGAUUUCAAGUGGAUUGCUAGAAACAUUGUCGCAGGGGAGAGGUUCUUUCUUAUGGACAACCCUCGCUAAAGCUUGGCCACUUAUUCGAGAGAAUUUGAUUUGGUCAGUAAGGGAUGGUACUAAAUAUUAGGUGUUUGUGUGACCCUCAGAUCUCGAAAGUGGGAUCGUUGGCUAAUAUGGUUUUUGGACAUUCCACUCUAGACAUGGAUUGUCUUUUGAGUGAUAUGGUGACAAAGGAUGGCGAUUAAAACCUAGAUCUCUUUCGUCUUUGGCUCCUAGAUGAGGUGAUUCAGAAGAUUGUAGAGAUUCCUCCGCCUCAUCCGGAAGCAGGACCUGAUAGGAUAAUUUUAGGAGGUAUUUCGACAGAUUCCUUUUCCCUUAAAAAUGCCUAUGAGAAGCUCCGAGAAGGGUCGUGGAAUCCGAAAGAACCGAUGUGGCGCAUCCCCUAAAAAUUCCAAGGGCCCCAACAGGUUAGGUUCUUUAUUUGUCUUACUUUCAAUCAACGCCUGCUUACCAAGGUGGAACUCGCACGACAAGGACUAGGGCAUGAUUCAAUAUGUGACGUUUGUGGUCAUGAUUCAAAGGAUGUGCUUCAUGCGAUUAGGGAUUGUCCUGCAACGAGAAAUGUUUAGGAUCAUCUAAUUCCAGUCGAAUGGCAUUCUAUGUUCGUUGCAGGAAAUUUAUAUGAGUGGCUUGUGUUAAACUUGCAAAAUCAGCAUGGUUGGUGCUUGGGAGAUGUAGAUUGGCAAUAUCUAUUUGGGAUCAUCGCUUGGCAUAUUUAGAAGAAUCACAAUCUUUUCCUUUUCCAGGGUGCUCCAUGGAGUGAUAAUGAAACUAUUAUGGUGACGUAUAGUUGGGCAAAGCAAUAUGUGUCUUCUACCAGGGGCAUGUCAAUUGAAACACGAUGUAAGUUUUAUCAUCUUCAUAUUUAACUAACGAUUGGGUCACUUUGAGUACAGAUAGAUCUAUCCAGAAAAAAGUUGGUUUUACGGCGGUAGGGGGAAUAGUGCAAGAUCGAGGUGGAAUGUGUACUCUUGGAUUUAAUAGACAUUUGGGAAAUUGUUUUAUUUUUGAUGUUGAGUCGUGGGGUAUUUUGGAUGGUCUAAUUAUUUUAAGUGAGCGGGGCUAUGACAGUGUGUUAAUUCAAUAUGACUAUCUUGAGGCAGUUACGACUAUUUAAGAAAGGUCUUCAAAAGGGUCCAAUUCUGCUUUGGUCAAGAGAAUUCAUUAGAUGUUGUCGCGGUUCAAAUAGUGGAGCAUUAGACACACUUCUAGAGAGGAAAAUCAAGAUGCUGAUCAUUUGGUCAAUCUAGUCCAACAUAGAACUAAAGAUUUACGCUUGUUUGAGAUCUCAUGGUUUGAGGGAUUGGUCUAAUUUUUGUAAUGAAUUUAUUUAUUUUACUUUUUCACCAAAAAAAUAAGUUAUGGAUAAUAAAUAUUUAAACUAAUUAAUAUCAUUACAAAAAUAAAUGAUUAAAUUAUGUUAAAUUAAAAUAUAAAAAUUAAAUCAAAAUAUGACGAUAGUAUAGAUUAAGUUGCUCCAUUAUCAGUGCAGCAUGAAAAAGGACAACGGAAAAGAGUUAGGCGGGUUUAGACUUGUAGCUUUUCUUUUUGUUUUCUCUCUUGUGAUUCACGUCCGUUACAUAAUUUAUUUCAAAUUCCUUUUCAUCAAAUGCUAUUACACCUCUUACGUCAAAAGUUUGAAAAUCCUUCUUUAUAAUGUUAAAGAAACCCUUAAAAUCUACCUUUUUUUAUUAUUUACGUUUUUUCAGACUUUUCUUUUUGAUAUAAUAUUGUCUAAUAAUUAUGACUUAGAUAUCACAUUCUUACUUAAUCACAUUAAUUUUUUUAAAUAAAAUUGAUAUUUUUAUUUGAAAAAAAAAGCUUGAAGUUUGUUUGUUCUUAUACGAGUUUUUUUAAUAUAUCUUUUAAUAGAAUUUUUUUAACUUGAAACAAAGGAAAAUCAAUAAUAACAAAUUGGUCCGUAUUAUUGAGACAUGUUUUAAUUAAUCAAUCAACUAAUAUAUUAGCUUCUCUAAACACAUGUUAAAAUUUGGUAGUCUAAAUUUACCGGCAUUACUCUUUUAUCCUUCAAAUCAGAGUCAUUGGCGGGACUUCCUUUAAGAUAUCCUCAAGCAUAUCAGUUACAAUCUUGCUUUCACAUUCAAUUAUUAUUUUAAAAUAGCUCCUUAGUCGAACUCAAAGCAAUAAUUGCCCAUAAUUCAGCGGUAAGAACAGAACAUGUGUUGCUGUUAAUCUGCUGGAAAAUAAUUGCCCAUUCUCAUCAUCAAACUGCCGAAGGGAAUCACAAGAAAUAAGAAACAAACCAAGGCUAAAACCAACAUGAUUUGGUAGCCUAAAUCAUCAUCUCUUUUGAAAUGGCCAUAUCUUCUGGGAUAUCGCUUCAUUUUCUAUACAAUGUAGUACUAUCCUGGACCACCUUUCUUUUUUCAUAAAAAGAUUAAUAAUAAGAAGAAGAAAAUAAAAAUAAUAACGUCGAGUGUUAUUCCCUAAUGCCUAUAUUUACGAACUUUUAACACCUGAAUUUUAAUCCAAGGUGUGACGAAGGGUUUGUCCAGAAAUCUGACUUCAAGCAAGUGCUAAUUGUGGAGUUAAUUUCUUUUAUCAGCAAUCCCAUCUUAAUUUUGCUUUGGAUAAUUAUUGCCUUAAUUAUAAACUUAAGCUCUAAAUUAUAUAAUUUUUCUCACUUACUUUGAAUUCGAGGAUAGCAGAUUAGGGUGUAAUGUUUGCUGUCGCUUGUUGGUUUUUGUGGAAGAAUAGGAACAAAAUUAUUUUCCAGCAGAUUACCAGCCACUCUGAAGAGGUUCUUCAAAGUAAUAAUUGCCCAUAAUUCAGAGGUUUUUGUAUAACGUGUUACGGGAUUCCUAUGGUAACUGGAUUGCAGGUUAUAGAAGUUUUAUUGGGAGAGGUUCUGUGAUUACCGCUGAAUUAUGGGCAAUACUUUAGAGCUUAAUUUUUGAAGAACCUCUUCAGAGUGGCUGGUAAUCUGCUGGAAAAUAAUUUUGUUCCUAUUCUUCCACAAAAACCAACAAGCGACAGCAAACAUUACACCCUAAUCUGCUAUCCUCGAAUUCAAAGUAAGUGAGAAAAAUGAUAUAAUUUAGAGCUUAAUUUUAUAAUUAAGGCAAUAAUUAUUCAAAGCAAGAUUAAGAUGGGAUUGCAAAUAAAAGAAAUUAACUCCUCAAUUAGCACUUGCUUGAAGUCAGAUCUCUGGACAAACCCUUCGUCACACCUUGGAUUAAAAUUCAGGUGUUAAAAGUUUGUAAAUAUAGGCAUUAGGGAAUAACACUCGACGUUAUUAUUUUUAUUUUCUUAUUAUUAUUAUUAAUCUUUUUAUGAAAAAAGAAAGGUGGUCCAGGAUGGUACUAUAUUGUAUAGAAAACGAAGCGAUAUCCCAGUAGAUAUGGUCAUUUCAAAAGAGAUGAUGAUUUAGGCUACCAAAUCAUGUUGAUUUUAGCCUUGGUUUGUUUCCUAUUCUUGUGAUUCCCUUCGGCAAUUUGAUGAUGAGAAUGGUUGUCUUUUUCAGUGGCAAGUUACUACUCCAAGCCAUGCCAAGCCAGCAAUCUUAUAUUUCAUGCCGUUACACUAUUGUUUGGAGACAAGGAAAAAAACAAACGGGAUACGGUUGAUGAAAGUGAAAACCCCAGAAAAUUUUGACUAGGUUUGCAACACAUCUGCCUAGGGUUUGAUUGAAUAACGGUGAAUGAUAUUUUUUUACAUGGAAAAAAAGGCUUGCUGGUCAAGGCAAAUACUCACCAGUCACCAAAGAGCAUAUAAAUAUGCUUUUAAACAAAGAGAGGCUAGCCUUUAACAAAGUUUGGAGUAAGUUGAAACUCCAAAAUCCCUGAGAGUAUUUCAUUUCGAACUUUUAUCAAGUAAAUGUUUCUCAAUCUCUCUUUUCAUUAUUCUGUUCUGUUCUUAGCUUUGUCUUUUUCCUUGGUGAGUUGGGAGGGUAUCUCAAGUUUGGUUUAUGCUCAAAUGAUGCCUCUACAAAAAAAAUUUCUUCACUUUCUGUUGCACUGCUGAUAAAGCAUAACUGCAGCUUUUGCAAAUUUGUUUUUUUUUUUUUCCUUUAGAUGGGUGCUUGGGAGUCAUUGUUGCAGAGAAAUUUCCUGUUAAUAAUAGGGGAACAAUCUUGCUUAAAUUAAUUAGCUUAAAUUAAUUGAUUUGUUUGCAGCAACCACAAUAUAAUAAAUCCUAUAGAUUCUGAAGUUGUUGAGUAUCAAAGUAAUUACUUGGGAGCCACUCAAUGGCCUCUGAGAAUGGUUUUAAUGGUGAGAAAGAUACCGACUUGCAUGAAGCCGGCACAUCGAAAAGCCAGGAAGAGUCACAGAAAGUCCCUGGCGAUAAUGGAGAAAAUCAAGAUCCUGAAAGCAGCAAAGGAGAUGAGAAAACUAACACGGUUCCAUUUUACAAGCUGUUUGCAUUUGCUGAUUCUACGGAUAUCUUAUUAAUGAUCGUCGGCACAACCGCUGCAACUGGGAAUGGUCUAUCUAUGCCCCUUAUGACAAUCCUGUUUGGGAAUCUCAUUGAUUCUUUUGGAACAAACAAGAGUAAUGGCAACGUGGUUGAAGCAGUCUCCAAGGUAUUUCUGCAUGUAGCAUGAACAUAGCUGGUGUGUCUUUUUACUUUUAGUUUAUUGUUUUGUUUAAACGUCUCACAUGGGGAUUAUCAACUGAAUUCUUAAAACUAUAUCUAAGGUUUCUGUGAGAUUUGUCUACCUGGCGAUGGGGGCUGCGGCGGCUGCGUUUCUCCGUAAGAAAAUCUCUAAUUUAAAUCAUAUUGCCUGAUGUUUAAUGUGGCUUCAGACUCAUGCUGAAAAGCUUGGAUAUUGUUAUCUUUUUCAGAGGUGAGUUGCUGGAUGAUCACAGGUGAGAGACAAGCUGCACGAAUACGGGGCCUGUACUUGAAAACCAUAUUGAGGCAAGACGUUGCCUUCUUUGAUGUGGAAACAAACACAGGGGAAGUUAUUGGAAGAAUGUCUGGGGACACAGUUCUCAUACAGGACGCCAUGGGCGAAAAGGUAUAUGACUAUACUAUCCUAGUCUUGACUAGGAUGUUUAGAAUCUUCGUUGAGUAAGAUGUUUUCAUUGGAAUCAUAAUAUACAUGUAACCAUGGAAUAUUCACCUCUUUUUUGCAGGUAGGGAAGUUUUCACAAUUGAUAUCCACGUUCAUUGGAGGCUUUGUUAUAGCAUUUGUCAAAGGAUGGCUUCUUACUCUCGUAAUGUUAUCUGCUAUCCCUCUACUUAUAAUAUCUGGUGGAACCAUAGCCGUUAUAGUAUCCAAGAUGGCAUCCCGGGGACAAAAUGCUUAUGCUAAAGCUGCCACUGUAGUUGAACAGACAAUUGGUUCGAUCCGAACUGUAAGUUCUAUAUAAAAAAUAGUCGCAAUUAAGUUAUCAAUUUUUGCUUCUAUUUUUUGGUGAAAAUAUAUGGCCAAUCAUUGACUUGAUUCCAGGUUGCGUCGUUUACUGGUGAGAAGCAAGCAAUAAACAAUUACAAUAAGUCACUUGUUACUGCUUAUAGAUCAGGCGUUCAUGAAGGCACUGCUGCUGGAGUAGGUGUUGGCUUAGUUAUGCUAGUUAUAUUCUGCAGUUAUGCUUUGGCUGUCUGGUUUGGUGGGAAGAUGAUUUUGGAGAAAGGGUACACUGGUGGUCAAGUACUUAAUGUGAUCAUGGCUGUAUUGACAGGUUCCAUGUGAGUUUAAAUUUUGAAUUUUGUCCAUCUUCUACUUUAUUAAGCAUGCUUCAUAGGCUAAAUUCCUUGGUACUUACGGAUGUUUCAGGUCUCUGGGGCAAGCAUCUCCAUGCAUGACUGCGUUUGCGGCUGGUCAAGCUGCAGCAUUUAAGAUGUUUGAGACCAUCAAAAGGAAGCCAGAGAUUGAUUCCUAUGACACGAGUGGAAAAGUGUUGGAGGAUAUUCGUGGGGAUGUAGAACUGAGGGAUGUUUAUUUCAGUUACCCUGCCAGACCAGAGGAGCAAGUUUUCAGUGGAUUCUCUCUUUCUAUUCCAAGUAGCACAACAGUAGCUUUGGUAGGACAAAGUGGAAGUGGGAAAUCAACUGCAAUCAGUCUGAUCGAGAGAUUUUAUGAUCCACAAGCCGGUGAGGUUCUUAUCGAUGGCAUUAAUCUCAAGGAGUUCCAGCUUAGAUGGAUAAGGGGAAAGAUUGGUCUUGUUAGCCAGGAACCAGUGUUGUUUACGUCAAGCAUAAGGGAUAAUAUCGCAUAUGGUAAAGAAGAUGCAACCACAGAAGAGAUAAGAGCAGCAGCUGAGCUUGCAAAUGCUGCUAACUUCAUUGAUAAACUACCUCAGGUUUUAGUUUAUUGUCCGAUUAAUUUUAUUUUAUAUAUCAACUUCAAUAUAUGAAUUGCACAUUUUAAUUUACUUUUGAAACUAUGGACUCCAUGCAUAGGGACUAGAUACCAUGGUUGGGGAGCAUGGAACUCAGCUUUCUGGUGGACAAAAGCAGAGAGUGGCAAUUGCAAGAGCAAUCUUGAAAGACCCACGGAUUUUGCUUUUAGACGAAGCCACAAGUGCACUCGACGCAGAAUCUGAAAGAGUUGUUCAAGAGGCAUUGGACAGGAUAAUGGGCAAUAGGACUACUGUCAUUGUUGCUCAUCGUUUAAGUACUGUGAGAAAUGCAGAUUCGAUUGCUGUAAUUCAUAAAGGAAAGAUGGUUGAAAAAGGUAGUUAUAAUCAUAUAUUUCUUGAACUUCAUCUUAAUUGUAAGUGGAGCUAUCUAACAGACGCAUGUUAUCAAGGGGAUACAUUUUUAUUCCACCAACUAAACCUUGAUUUGCCUGCAUUUUGGUGUAUUUUCGGACAUUUUGCGUAUUUCCAUUGUUUAUCUUAAAUAUUAAGGAAUAUGUUUGUAACACGUUUAACAUAUUGAUUGUAGUUCUUGUUUCUUUUUUUUGCAUUUGCAUCAGCAGUGUUAUUCUCCACAACAACAUACUUUAUCACAGUCGAUAACAUUUCUUCGAAUUGACAGGGUCGCAUUCAGAACUGCUCAAGGAUCCUGAGGGAGCUUACUCUCAGCUCAUUCGUUUACAAGAAGUAAAUAAAGGGUUGGAACAGCUUGCAGAUGUAUCAGAUGUUAAUCCGGAAUUGUUUAGACAAUCGAGCCUAAGAAGGUCAUUCAAGCGAUCAAUCAGCAGGGGAUCAUCUAGAACUAGCAGCCGCAAUUCUUCUUUCUCUCAACCUUUUGGUUUACCUACUGAAAUGAAUGUCACUGAUCCUGCAAUGUUAGAUACAGAAGACCCUGCUGAACCACCAUUGAAAGAGGUUUCUAUCCUCCGGCUUGCUUACCUCAACAAGCCAGAGAUUCCUGUGAUCUUAAUUGGAACUCUUUUUGCAGCUGCCAAUGGUGUGAUACUUCCACUUUUCGGUAUCCUGAUUUCCAAUAUGAUCAAAACAUUUUAUCAACCUCCUGAUGAAUUGAAAAAGGAUUCAAGAUUCUGGGCACUGAUAUUUUUGUCCCUUGGCCUGGCAUCAUUUCUGAUAAAUCCAGCUCGAACAUACUUCUUUUCUAUCGCCGGAUGUAAAUUAAUCCAACGAAUCAGAUCAACAUGUUUCGAGAAAGUGGUCCGCAUGGAAGUUGCUUGGUUCGAUGAACCUGAUAAUUCAAGUGGUUCAAUAGGUGCAAGGCUCUCGGCAGACGCAGCCUCAAUACGUGCCCUGGUUGGAGAUGCACUAGCUCAGUUGGUCUCAAGCUUUGCAUCAGCAUCGGCUGGUUUGGUUAUUGCUUUUGCUGCAAGUUGGAAGAUGGCAUUUAUUAUCCUAGUACUAAUCCCUCUCAUAGGGGUCAAUGGAUACAUUCAAGCAAAAUUCAUGAAGGGAUUCAGUGCAGAUGCAAAGGUAUGCUUGAAUAUUGCUUACAUAAUUGUGAAAAAUAAGUAAAAGAGUAAAAGGGGCAUAUAUUUUUAAGAAUAUUAUUGAUUUAUACAUGUAUAUAUAAAUUGUUGCAGAUGAUGUAUGAGGAGGCCAGCCAAGUUGCCAGUGAUGCAGUUGGGAGUAUAAGAACAGUUGCUUCCUUUUGUGCAGAGGAAAAGGUAAUGCAACUCUACAAAAAGAAAUGUGAGGGUCCAAUGAAAACCGGGAUAAGGCAGGGUUUGAUUAGCGGAUCAGGAUUCGGACUUGCAUUCUUCUUUCUGUUUUCUGUUUAUGCAACAAGUUUCUAUGCAGGAGCUCAACUUGUUGAGCACGGCCAGGCUACAUUCACAGAUGUUUUUCAAGUGAGUUUGACAUCUUUGGAUCUUUUUUGUUAAGGCAUGCUAUUUAAUUUUGUAUGUCCCUAUCAUGCUGAGAUCAAUAUUUAUUUCGCAGGUUUUCUUAGCUUUAACCAUGGCAGCUGUUGGAAUUUCUCAAUCAAGUUCCUUUGCUCCUGAUUCCAACAAAGCCAAGAUCGCGGCUGCUUCCAUAUUUGCAAUUAUUGAUCGCCAGUCUAAAAUAGACCCAAGUGAUGAGUCUGGGAUGACACUAGAAAAUGUGAAGGGAAAUAUGGAGCUUCGUGAUGUUAGUUUUAAGUAUCCAUCAAGGCCAGAUAUUCAAAUCUUCCAAGCCUUAAGCUUGUCUAUUCAUGCCGGAAAGGUAAACGAUCCUUUUGCCAUACUGAACUCGCAAACACAUCACUUAUCAACAUAAUUGUAGAGACUAAAAUCAUACACAUAUCGAUCAUUUUGUUUCUUUCAGACAGUUGCCCUGGUUGGAGAAAGUGGGAGUGGGAAAUCUACUGUAAUCUCAUUAUUGCAGAGGUUUUAUAAUCCUGAUUCAGGAACUAUCACUCUUGAUGGAGUCAAAAUCCAAACGCUCCAAUUGAAAUGGCUGAGGCAACAAAUGGGGCUUGUCAGCCAAGAACCUGUUUUGUUCAAUGAUACAAUCCGUGCCAACAUUGCAUAUGGAAAGGGAGGAAAUGCAACUGAAGCAGAAAUUAUAGCAGCAUCAGAGUUGGCCAAUGCUCAUAAGUUCAUCAGUGCAUUACAACAGGUUACAGAUCUUUUGGAAAAUAGUCUCCAAAUUGGCUCAAUAAUGCAAUCAUUACAAAAUAGUCUCCAAAUAUGCUUUGACUAAUGACUGGUUACUGAUCUUUUCACCUAUAUAAUCCAGGGUUACGAUACCGUGGUGGGAGAGCGAGGACUUCAAUUGUCAGGUGGACAAAAGCAACGCGUAGCCAUAGCACGAGCCAUCGUUAAAAGUCCAAAGAUACUGCUAUUAGAUGAGGCUACAAGUGCACUGGAUGCAGAAUCAGAGAGAGUGGUUCAGGAUGCACUAGAUAAAGUGAUGGUGAACCGCACGACGGUUGUAGUUGCUCAUAGGCUAUCCACAAUCAAGAAUGCAGAUGUUAUAGCUGUGGUUAAAAAUGGGGUUAUUGUAGAGAAAGGAAAGCAUGACACUUUGAUAAAUAUCAAAGAUGGUUUCUAUGCUUCCUUAGUUGCACUUCACAUGACUGCUUCCACUUCGCAGUAGGUCUUACAAGUGUUGAGAGUCGAAUAUUAUACUUAAUGUCACCGAUGAUUGCAUUAAGUGAUUGAAUUAAAUUUUACCUCUGCCUCUUAGAAUUUGCAAAAUAGUUGCUUGAUACAAUAACUCAUGCAGAUAAUCAUAUAUUAUUACCCAGAGGCAAAUGUUGUUUUCAUGAUACGUUUGCUCGUUCCUUUGAAUCCUACGCAAGAAAGAGUCAGAUUUGAUGAGAUAAACCGUGGGAAAAUUAAAGAAACUCUACUGCAUGUCGUAUAAUGAUGGAUAAUGGCCAAAGCAAUUUUUUUUUAGAAUAAAAGUAGAGAAGUUUGAAGAAAAAUGUUCUAGGUUUUUAAAAUAUCAUUAUUCCUCGUCAUCGUUUUUAUUUUGCUCAAUUAAUUUUAACGGUGUGAAUAUUUCAAAAUAUAUAUGUACCACUUCUUCCUUUUUUUUAUGAAUUUUUUUACAAUUUUAUUCUAUUUUUAAUUACUUUUAUUCAUUUUACUUAUAAAAAUUUUUUUAAAAAUAAAUAAUUCUUUCAUAUAUUUUUCAAAUGAUAUUUCAACUAUAAAUAUUAUUAAUUGAGUAAAAUUAACAUUUUUCUAUUACAUUACCUUUAUGCAAUUUUAUCAUUUAAUUAAUCUACAUGUAUUAAAUAUUUACUUUAUAAUUAAAUUAAAUCACUAUUAAUUAUAAAUAAAUUUAUUAAGAAUUAAUACUAUGUAGAAUAAACGUUUAAAUUUAAAUCUACAUAAAGGAAAAAACAAACAGUGAUCAAAUUGAAUGCAAUUAAAAUCAAAUUAAAUUAGUGAUGAAAUCGCACAUGUGGUAAACUGAAAAUGACCAAAAAGAGAGUUAACACAUCACUAAAAAAAGUGGCGGAUUUGGGGGCCAAAAAACGUUGAAGCGCAGACACACACUUUUUAUUUUAUUUUAUUUUGUUUAGAAGUUUUUAAUAGAAACUUAAUUUGUACUAUUACAAAUAAGUAUAAAAUAGUGUUAGCUUUUUUUAAAAAUAUUUUAAUUUAUAAAAGCUAUUUGAUUUAUUCUUUCAUAUUUAAUUUUAGAAUGAAAUAUUUAAAAUUACUUUAAUGACCAUAUAUAGAAACUUAUCUUUAAGAAUUGAAUUAAAAACAUACUUUAAAAAAUUGUGGCAAACUUUUAUGAUGGAUAUUAUUUAAAAAUAUUUAAUUUUUUUAAAAAUACAAAUUAAAAGUUAAAUAAAAAUAUUUUUUUUAAAAUUUAUUCUAAUAUCAAUUAUCAUGUUUUUAAAACUUUUAAUUUUAUAAUUAUUUUGUUAAUAAAACGUUGCAAAAUUAAAAAUAAUUAUGACAUAAUUAAAUAAUUAAACAUUUAUUUUAUUUUCACUUUCUCAACCAUACUAUUUUUGAAACAUUAUCAAAUUUUAAAAACAAUAUAAUAUAUUUUAAUUAAUACACGACAGUAAUGAAAAUAAUUUCAACUAUUAGAUAACAAAUAGAUUAUUUUAAAAUAAUAUAUAAAGCAAUUGAUCUUUUAUUUACUUAAAAAUAUUUUUUAAAAGUAUUAGGACUUAGGAGUCGUAAUAGUACUUAUCCGGAUAUUCCCCCAAAAAAUUCGUUGCCAGUUUUCCUGCCCGUGGCAUUUUACUAAUUUUCAGGAUUUUUUUUAUUUACAAAUAAGGACACGAAGUGAUCGUUAGACCUAUGUGGCAAUUAGAGAGACAACGUAAAGCCACAUGGCAGAAAAGCCUCUAUGAGCUGGCAAAAUCCUAGCCGUCAGUAUUCGGAUGAUGUCAUCGCACCGCUGAUAUUAAAAAGGAAACGCAUGCCAAAGUGCAAGUAAAGCGUGGCAAACCGAAUUCCUCACGAGCGCGCCACCGCCAAGCUCAACAAUCCUUCCACAUCAGCUUUAGAUUUAAUCGAACCACUAAUAGCGUGCCACAUUUGCUAGUUCCUUCCCUUCCAGGAAACUGAAACCGUUGAAGGCAGCGUAUAUUCAAUAUAUGAAUGCAUUCUUCCCAAUCCAUUCUUAUAUUUUCCAAGCUAAACGGGAAUCGAAACCAUCUGAUUCACGCCAUGGAGACCUCUGGCAUUGUUUGCAAGACAGUUUCAAGGUUGCCGGCGGCUAGGGUUGAUUUUAGCGCACGGUUUUCCAGGGAGUUGAAUCAUGGUGUUGGAGAUUCCAGGGUUUCACUUAGGCCGAGGAUUAAAUCUUGCAGGAGAUUGUGUUGCCAGUUUUCUGAUUUAGGGCAUGUCCAAUAUUAUGUGUCACCGAGGGGUGGUGGUAGUGGCGAUGCCACGAAGAAAGACAAGGGAAAGAGCUGUGAGAUUAAACAAGUCAAGAAGAAGCUGAAGCUUCUCAAGCGAUUGUCCAAGGACUUGUCCAUGCUUCCUCAGAUUGCUGAUGGCGAGGAUAUUAGGAUUGGAUUGGCCGCUGAAGUUAAGGCCACGAUGAUUCAUGUAAGAUAUUAAUUUUCCGUCUUCUUUUUCUACUUCUGUUUUUUUGUGAUUGCUUUGAUCUGGUUCGUGCCGUGACAAAAUGGUUUAAUUGCUCUUUAAUUAAACUAAGAAGCUUUCUUUGUAUGAGAAUUGUGAAAAGUGAAAAUUUGAAGUGGGAUUUUUGUGAUAUAUUGGAUUAAAACCUCAUAUGUUGUUUUGUUCUUUCAGGAAGCAAGCGGUGUUUUGCUGGCCCAACUGCAAAAAUUGAAAUCAGAACAAAAGGAGUUGAAGAGAAAAUUGAAAGAGGAACGAGCCAAGCUCAAAGCCACUUUUGGGAAAUCAGAAUCAUCAUCUUCCUCUGAAUCAAGUGACAGCGAAUGUGGGGAGGUAGUUGACAUGAAAGCCCUGAGAAACAAUGCUUUGAAACCUUCCCUAGAGUCAGAAACACCAAUUGGCAAUGCUUUGGAACGACCCGAAGAGAUAGUUAUAGAAGCUCCAACGGUGGCAGAGGAAGCAACAUUAGCUAACUCGCUCAUGGAACUAGAAAACUCAGAUUCAAGCCCCCAAAUUCGGAUACGAGUUCCUCUUACUGGAUUGGAUGGUGAAUGUUUCAGUUCAAAUGGCUUCAAGGAUGGGCAGAGCAACACCCUUGUGGAAGGGACAUCAACCAAGAAGAUUGAAGUUUGCAUGGGUGGCAAGUGCAAGAAGAUGGGAGCUGCGGCGUUGUUAGAAGAAUUUGAAAGGAAGGUGGGUGCAGAAGGCACUGUUGUGGCGUGCAGAUGCAUGGGGAAGUGCAAGACCUCUCCAAAUGUGAGGGUCUUGAACUCUCAAACGGAAACUACAACGAGAAUCAAUGAAGACUCUGUUAGACUUGGGAUUAAUCCUACAUGCACGGGUGUUGGGUUGCAAGACAUUGACCUCAUCGUUGCAAAUCUUUUGGGCAAGAACAUAGAUGAUGAAUGUCUAAUGCUCUCUUCUUGAGUCUUCAUUUUGUUUCAUUCUUCGAUUACGAUCAUGAAUUUGUUAAUAGUGUGAAUAGGGGAAAUAUAGUGGAUGAGCUAUUGGCAUGGAUGAAACUACUUUAAAUCUAGGCUCUAGCGGUCUAGAUGAUAAUGUAAAAUGCUUUUAUCUUUCACGUUUUAGAGUAAUGUCGAAUGCAGCUUGUGGUUUUUAGUUUGUUCUGUAAAAUUUGUGCCAAAAUUUCAUCAUUUCCCUUCUUUCCGCUCUCCUCCUCGGUUUUCCAAUCGCAGGUUCUAACAUAAAAUUUGGUAAUGCAUUACUACGGGUUUUGUACAGAAGUAGGUUAAAAAAAAUUUUUAAUAUUGAAAUACGUUGUCAGAUAGAUUAUUUACCAAAAUGAGUUAUUUUUUUUGUAAUGGCGCCAAUGAAUAUUUUAUAAUAAUUUUUUUAAAUAAAAUAUUAUUUUUUAUUUUUAUAAAAUAUUUAAAUAGAAAUACGGGUUAAAAUACGGUCAACGGGUUGUAUGGGUAUUCAGGUGGCGCCUGUCAGAUAGGCGCCAUUAAUUGAGCCUCAUAGAGAGGCGCCAAUGGCCUUGGCAGCACUGCCUUCUGCCUGCUACUGCAACGCUGCAAAAGCAGCAUGGUGUUGUCCCUUCAACACCACAAUUUUGGCCACUAUAAGUAAAUGGUCCCCAAGCCAAGCCCCUUGCAUGAACGGUAGAGAGAAAAAAAAAAAGAGAGAAAGGAGAAGAAGAAGAAGAAAAAAAGAAAAAAAGUAAUGUUUUAUUUUAGUAAAUAAUUUUGUUUAUAAUUUAAAGAGUUUAAUGUUGGUUUAGACUCACGACUUUGUAGUAUACUGAUAUAUAUAAUAUUGGUUUAGACUCGACGACUUUGUAGUCUACUGAUAUAUUCAUGCUAUACCGCUUAAUGACAAAUAUGCUUUCUUCUUUACUUUCAAAUCUUUGGCCCACAAACAACUCCUCUAGAUCAGAAUAUACGGUCAUUCUGUGAACAGGUAGUAUUUCAGGGUACUCCGAAAACUCGGCUGCUCGCGCCGCAUCGGGGUCUAUCUGAGACAUGUAUGCCCCAAGAUUAUUGUGCAUCACAAUACGACGAAUCUGGUUUCCAACUGAAGAUGCGUUAACGUUUCCAUCCUCAUUCACGCCUUCGUCGUCAAUAUCAUCCGGGACCUCGUCCACGUCGGGAUCACUCUCACUAUCAACUUCGUGAUCAACAAGAUCACUACUAUAGUAUACAUCAUCACCAACCACAUCAGUCUCGGGUGCAGCAUUAAGAUCAAUAUCGAUCCCGUGUAUAGUUGAUUGACUAUCAACAUACCAUACCGGAACCACCAUACACGGCGUUUGAACUCCAUCUUCUUCACUUAAUGGAGUGGGAUCUUCAGUUGCCUUCACACCGGCUAACUCAGCAAAUAACUGAAUCGAUACAUUUUGGUUGCUCUGAGUCUCACAAUAAAGAGCGACCAUUGUCUCCAUGUCUUCAUCAUCUACAAGUUCUAUUUCGGUAAAUUUUAUUGGAUCUGUCGAAACUGGAAACUUGUAGAAAAGUUUUGAUAUCCUUCUCCCACAACGCCUAUAAAUUUUUUCACUAAUUUUCCUUCAUAUCAUCAAACGAGAUAUUUCUAUUAAAUCUCAUUGUUACUUGUUUACGACAUUCAAAAAUACAUCCCACAGUUGUUGUCAAAAUUUCUCCAUCGAAAUAAACGCAUACAAAAAACUGAUUCUCCAUCUUCAAUACUAGAUCUGUUAAAAAAUUUUCAAAAUUCUUAAAACAGUUUCGAAAUGCAAAAAAAUUACAUAAAAUUUCUAAUGCAAAAUUUUUCAUUCAGAAGCUAACAAAAUUAAUAACCUAAGAAAAUAACUUUCAAAUAAUAAAAUUACUAACAAGACUCUACAUUCUAUUUAAAAAGAAAUAAACCAAAAUACCUUAUCAUUCUUCUUGUUUGUAUCAUUCUUCUUGUUUUCCUUUCUUUUUUUCUUCUCCCUACCUUCUUAUUUCCGUUCCUCUACUAAAAAUUAUGUCUGUGUUUCAGGGGUAUAUAAAGGGAAAAAUAAGACCAUUGGCGCCUCACAACAUGACACAACUAGUGACGCUUGUCAGAUAGGCACCACCAUUAGCGCCUCNNNNNNNNNNNNNNNNNNNNNNNNNNNNNNNNNNNNNNNNNNNNNNNNNNNNNNNNNNNNNNNNNNNNNNNNNNNNNNNNNNNNNNNNNNNNNNNNNNNNNNNNNNNNNNNNNNNNNNNNNNNNNNNNNNNNNNNNNNNNNNNNNNNNNNNNNNNNNNNNNNNNNNNNNNNNNNNNNNNNNNNNNNNNNNNNNNNNNNNNNNNNNNNNNNNNNNNNNNNNNNNNNNNNNNNNNNNNNNNNNNNNNNNNNNNNNNNNNNNNNNNNNNNNNNNNNNNNNNNNNNNNNNNNNNNNNNNNNNNNNNNNNNNNNNNNNNNNNNNNNNNNNNNNNNNNNNNNNNNNNNNNNNNNNNNNNNNNNNNNNNNNNNNNNNNNNNNNNNNNNNNNNNNNNNNNNNNNNNNNNNNNNNNNNNNNNNNNNNNNNNNNNNNNNNNNNNNNNNNNNNNNNNNNNNNNNNNNNNNNNNNNNNNNNNNNNNNNNNNNNNNNNNNNNNNNNNNNNNNNCUGAGGGCGACUUAGUACCGGUCUGAGUACAGAACGGGUGGCGUGUCUGCAUCGAUUACAGGAAGUUGAACGCUUAUACUAGAAAAGAUCAUUCCCUUCCUUUUAUAGAUCAAAUGCUUGAACGUUUAGCUGGUAAAACUCACUUUGCCAUAUCCCUCUACUGUUAGAGAUACGUUCUUUUCUUGGCCAUGCAGGAUUUAUAGGCGUUUUAUAAAAAACUUCUCAAAAUAGCUGAACCAUUGUGCGAGCUGUUGCAGAAAGACAAAAAUUUGAGUUUGACUCAAAUGCAAGGAGGCUUUUGAUACACUUAAGCAAAAGUUGGUACCGCCCCUAUAGUACAAGCACAGACUGGAACUAUCCCUUUGAAAUUAUGUGCGAUGCAGCGAACGUAGCGUGGGAGCCGUAUUGGGACAAAAGAUAGCGAAAGAGCCUCAUGUCAUCUGUUACGCCUCAAAAGACCCUAAAUGAUGCACAAAACAAACUACACCACAGAAAAAGAACUUUUAGCUAUUGUGUUUGCUUUAGAUAAAUUUCGAUCAUAUUUACUGGAUCUAAGGUGAUUAUUUUUUCUGACCAUGCAGCUCUUAGGUACUUAAUCGCAAAGAAGGAAGCAAAGCCAAGGCUCAUUAGGUGGAUUUACUGCUCCAAGAAUUUGACAUCGAGAUUCGUGACAAAAAAGGUGUGAAAACCUGGUGGCCGACCACUUGAGUAGGAUAAAAACUCCAUUUGAUGAUGAUCCCAAAAAACCUAAAUAGGUACAAAUUGCCAAAUUUAGGUAUCUCUAGUAUAUUAAUCCAAAAAAAAUGCUAAUUUAUUUUAUUACCUUCAAAAAAUUAGUUAUUAAUAAAAUUAUCAAUUCCAGCUAAUUAACAUAAUGUAUUUUUUAUGAGAGAUUAGGGAUGGGUAAAAGUUUAUUAGCUGAAUUGAGUGGAUGCAUGUAUAUAGCAUUAAUAUUAUACAAAUUUCCAAGUUCGAUUCAACUCAAAUAUAAGCUUUAAAUUUUGCUACAGCCUUUUCAUAUUUGUAAAUGGGUUAACCUCAAAUCCGAUUAGGUAUAUAUUAUUUUAGAAUAUUAUAUUUCUUUAACAUUAAUAUGAUUCUUUUACUACCGUUAUAUUUUUUUAUUAAUUCCUAAAUAAAUUGAUAUUAGAGCCUAAGCCCGACCCGUAAAACAGGCCUGAACUUUUUGUUUUGUGCAAAUUCGUUUUCAGUUUAUAUUCUAUCUAACCCUCUCAAAUAUCAAGCAAACUUUUAGAUUUAGACAGAUAACUCGACCCUUAAUAUAUCUAGGAAAGAGUGUCCAAAUUUAACUCGAAAUGUGAUAUCAACAAAGGCUUAAACACAAAUAAUACUCUAUUUGUAUGGGCAUAAAUUAGUUUGAAAAUAGAUGUUUAUUACAAUGCCAUGUGCUAAAGAUUGGACAAUCACCAAGCUCAAACUUGUUGUAUAAUAACAUUAUGGGCAAGGCAAAAUAUUCAGACAAGGCAUUUGGAUAAGUCUUAUUGUGUAAAACUUAAAUGAUAAAACCCAAAAAAUAAAUAAAUUGCAUGAAAAAGGUAAGUGAGGGGGGCAAGCAUGCAUGCAAGCAAGCAUGCGCCCUGUGCUACUCUUUAAUAACCCUCCCUUGAUUUUCUCCUGAACAUCCAUUGUUUAAAGUAACCAUUUAUUCAACAUGGCCCUACACCUCAGAAACCUUGUCUAUGAAUAUAAAUAUUGGUUUAAUUUUUGUCUUUGAUCCUUGUACUUUUUUGAAAUUUAAAAAUUAUCAUUUUAUUUUUAUUUCUAGAAAUUCAAUCGUAUUACCAGUUAAGAAUUGAAAGUUAAAGCUCAAUUGAUAUCACAAAUACAAAUUCAACUAAUGUUAGUUAAUAAUGUUAUCAAUUGAAUUUUAAUUUUUAAAUCAGACAAAUAGAGGGACUAAAAUUUUAAAAUUAAAAGCUAAGGGAUGAAAUUUCAAUAAUCCAAAAAGUAAAAAACCAAACUAACUAAAGGCUAGUUUUUUUUUAACGAUCAGUAUACUUUAUAUUCGUUUUGUGAUUUUUUCUCUCAACAAUGUCAUAUCUAAAAUUUAAACUCGAGUACUUUUUCUAGAAAUACAAUAUGUAUUAUCAUUACACUUAAUUCUUAUUAAAAAGUAGGUACAGAACUAAACCAUAAAUUUGGGGAAAAAUAAAAUUAAGGGGAAUAAUAUAAUUAAAAGAAUUACUUAGUUAAGAUCCUUAUAAACCUAAGAUGACUAAUUUAAGUUUAUAUUUAUAGUAAUGUUUUAAUUAAAGUAUUUUUUCUGAAUAUAUUUAAAACUAUUUAUAGCCCCUCCUUAACUCAUAAAUAGGAGGAUAAUGCGCUUCAACGCACUCGAACUCACAUCCUCUUGCAUUGGCAAUAAUAUUAUACUAAUCAAAUUAAGACUCAAUCGACACUCACACCCUCUUGCAUUGACAAUAAUAUUCAUACUAAUCAAACUAAAAUUCAUUCGACGAAAGUAAAAACUAAAUACGCAAAAAUCUUGAGAUUUAUUCGGAAAAAAAAAAGAAAGAGAGGAAAGAGUUAUAUUUAUUAUACAUACUAAGAUCUAAAUAAGGGGAUAUCAUGUAUAUGUUAGAUGUAAUGAUUGAAGGAAAGAACCCCAUGUGGAGACCAUGUGGGGAGGAGAGGAGAACGGGGGAGAGCCUUUUAAGUGCUUAACUCCUUUUUUUCAUGCCUAGUCUUUUUAAAACUUUUGGAUUUAAUUUUAUACAUGAUAUAGAUAAAUAAUAUUUGUAUAUUGACACUAAAUUAAAAUAUAUAGAAAUGAGAUUACGAACAAUGGUAGAUCUUGAUAUUAAAUUUUAAGAUUUAAUUAAAAUUUUUAAAAUUUAAUAAUAAUUUUUAAAAGAUUUUGGGUUUAAUCAAAUUUCAAAAACUUCAAAGUGUUAUGAUGAUUUUCAAUUUUUUUUCUAAUAAAGAUCCAUCUUUGGUUAAGAAUUUAUUAAGUGUUUUAGUUCAAUUGAGGUAAUUAUUAUAUAAAAGUCAGAAAAAUAUAAAUCGAAGGCACUUAAACAUAUGAAUUUUUUUUAAUUUAAAAGUAUCGAGGUUAGGGGGUGUAGUAGGACUGAUUGUACCAUAAAAAUAUAAUUAUAUACUUAUAUGUGUACAUACAAUAAGGUUAGGUAGGUGGAAGAGAGGUGUUUUUCAUGAUAACUCCAAUUUAGGAUUUUUGUUUAUUCGUAACCCAAAGUUACAAAUGUUGGCUUUGCUUUAAACAUAACAUAAAAUCAAUAUUUUUUAGGAUGUUUUUAUCUCUCUCACUACACAAAAUAAUGGUGAAUGACCUUAGAGAUCACUUUAUUAUAGGGAUGUGAUCAAAUUAGCGAUUACUGUUUAUAAUUUUUUUUAUGGUUUCUAUAAUAAAAUUUUUUAUUUAGAAUUGAACUACAAUUGAAAAAAAUAAUUUUCAAUACAUUUUUAUACAGUAAAUGUUAACUCUUAUAAUUGGACUUAUUUGAUUUUUUUAAUAAUAUGGACUAAAUUGAUCCAUUUAAUAAUAAAAGGACUAAUUUGAUCCAAUCCUUAAUAGAGGGACUUUCAAGAUACUUUAACCCAUAAAAAACCCAAUAAUAAUAAUAAUUGAAAUAAAAGAAAAAAAAAAGGUUUAAAAUAUAUCCCUAGGUUUAUGGGGUGGGCCAUGAAUUGUCAUGUGCUUGCAUGUGCAUUGUCUUUCCCUCAUAGGCCCACCACUUGUUUUCCCAUUGAGCAAAUAAAUGAAGUUUAUGGUACAUUCCCUUCCCCUCCCCUCUCUAUUUUCUUGGAUUCUGAUUCACUUUCUGGAUCUGUUUCACUCCCUCCAGUCUCCGUUUUCUGAUACUUCUCUCAUCUCAACAUAAUUUCAUUAAAAAAAAAACCAUAUAUAUAUAUUAUUUCCAUAGAAGAAGCUUAAUCAAGGUAUGUACAUGGUAACAUGCAUAAUAACAAUCUUAGUCCCUUGCUAAAUUGCUACUAAUGCCAUAUUAUGUCUUCUCUGAAACCCUAAGUUCCAUUUUUGUUUUACUUUCAAUAAAUUACAAUAUUGGUCCUUGAACUUUUGUUUGUUUUUUUUUUUGUAGGAUGCAUCUUCCUCAUAGUACACUCAAGCAAGAGUUUGUCAAGAAAUGGAUAAUGGGUCUUCAAAGAUGCAAGUUUUCAAACAAGAACAUGAGUAUCUUUGAGAGAAAAAAGGCCAUAAAGUUAUCAGCUGAUACAGCCAUGGCAUCUGCAAGAAAGGGUCUAACUGUUGGAGCCGAGCACUCAUUUCGACCCCCGAUCGGUCGGCGGUGCCGACAACGACGAGACGAGCUUCGUUGGCGUGUAAGAAGAUUGUGAAAAGGAGCCGUAGGAUCCGAAGGACAGCAAAAUGUGGUGCUGCCCGAAAGAGACAAAUAACAAGGUCUAUUGCUCAAUGUCUGGUAUGGAAAAGAACGCAGAUUUUGAAAAGUUUAAUACCAGGUGGAGAGUUUAUGAAUGAAGUGUGUUUGAUUGAAGAAACUUUAGAUUAUAUUACAUCUCUUAGAGUUCAAGUUGAUGUAAUGAGAAGCCUUGCUAGUGCUUCAGUUAGAGCUAGUGAACCCCAUAAUUAAGAGCAUCAAUGGUGUUUUUUUUAUUAUUAUUUGGUAAGGGUAUGGGUCGGUUGAUAUUAACUGAAUAUUUUAAUAAAUCCUUUGCAACUCCGUUAAUGGUAGGGUGUUUUUUUUUACUUUUGGAGCCAUUGUUAAAAUGGAAGUUGGAAACCAUUGAACCAACCAUUUACAUAUCAACUUUAUCUAUCUAUCUAUGUUUCUUUUCCUCUUUAUAUAAACUUAGAAUUUACUCUCUACUUUUAUUUUCAGAAAUCGAAUCCCUCUAAUUUUUAGAUUUUAAAAUUCACGUCCAAAAUGACUAAGAAAUGAUAUUAUAAAAAUAUAAAUUCAAUAAAUUAAUUUUAACAGUAUUAACAAUUAAAUUUACAUUUUAAAUAUAAAAAAUAAAAAAUACUAAAUUUCUAAGGUUUUGAAAUUUUGAAUCCUUAGAAACAACUUUCUUAUUAUGGAUUUAUAUCUUUUCUAUAAAUAUUUUAAUUUAGCUUUGAAUAUAUUUCGAAAAUUAAUCUUAUAUACUUUGUAAUAUAUACUUAAUUUUGAUUAUAAUUGAAAUAUAUUUAAAAUUAAACUAAAAUCAAUCUGGAUAAUUUUUAUUCAGGAUGAAAUUUAAAAUGCGCGUAUAACUUUUAUAUAAUGAGACUCGAAUUUAUAAUCUCAAAAUUCGAAAAAAACAUUAAAUUAUUUAAUGUAUUGAUUAUGCAUAAAUUUAUGUACUUAAAAGUAAUAUUGUCAAAAAAAUAAUUACAAAUUUAAAUAGAAAAUAGACAUAAUAAAAUGUAAUAUAUGUAGGAGUGUGGUUUUCUAGAAAGGGUUAAAUUAUGAUUUGAUAUGUCAAUUUGUCCUCAGAAUCUGUGUACCAAGAAAUACCAGCAAUGCGAUGAUUUGAUUGAUGUCUUCAUUAACUUUUUACUUAUGUUUCCAACUCAAUCCAAUUGCUCAGACACCACUCUGUUUUCACUAAUCACCUUCCAUACCCAAAGUGCUUCAAAUAUAUAAAACAUAAACUCUUGUGUUUGACUUAUAUUCAGUGUAUUUAUCAUUUUAAAUGUAGUCUUGAUUUAAAUUACGUGUAUUUAAUGUUCGAGAUAUAAUUUGAAUUGAGUCGUAUUAAUUACAUUUUAUUAUAUUAAGAUUUUAUCUUUUUAUAAUUUACCAAUAUAUUAUAUAAAAUAAUAAAAAAUUAUCAUGUUUAACUCUUAUGAAUGUAUUGUUCCCACUACUUUUAAAUUUAAUUUAAUGUCAUGUAUGAAAUAAUUAUAUUUAUUUUCCAUUCAAUUUUAUAAAUUUAUAAUUUUGUUCAAUAUUUAAAUGACAUGAAUUUAAAUUUUGUCAAUUUUUUAACUUUAUAACGAUAGAAAAUUUAAAUAUUAAAAUCUAUUUGAUUUGCUUGAAAAUAAUAUAAUAAUUCAUUUUAUGAAUUUUAUAUAAAUUAGGUUAAUAAAUAAUUAGGUCACGUAAUUUUUUUUUACUUAAUGUGAAUGAUGUUAAUAUACAUUUUAAAAAAUAAUAAAUGUAUGCUAAAAGUGGGAAAAUAUAAAAAAAAUGUUAAGGGUAAGAUUAUAUGUUGACACCAUUUUUUGGAUGAAAAACGGGGUUGACUUGGGUUUUGAAAAAAGAAACGGGAGUCGCCACCAAUCCUCUUUUUUCUUAUGAGGUGCGAUUGGAUCACCUCGAAGAGGGGUUGUUUUUAAUAAACGGUUUGAUUUUAUUAAAACAACAAGUUUGGUCCACGAAAUUCAGAAAAACGGGUUCGGGAGUCGGUUACGCACGAGGAAGGAUUAGCACCCUCGAUACGCCCAAAAUUGGUACCUAGUUGAUUACUUAAUGUCUUAAUGUCAAAAAUUGAGAACCUUGAAGAAUUUUAAAAAUACGAUCCUUGUAUUAAAACGUUGAAAAUUUUCAGGAAAAAGGGGAUAUUUCACGUUAUUCGAGAAAGAGAAUCAUAUCUAGUAAGUUAGGACACAAUGUCUCAAAUUCCCGAUACGCGGAUGAAAAAUGCUUAUUUAAAAGAUAUUUUAUUAUCUUGGUUUUAGAAAUAAAUCAGGCCCAGUAAGUUAGGGCACGAUCUUUUCUUAAUUCCCAAUGUUGUUUAAAACUUGAGUUUGAAAAGAUUCGUAUAAUAAAGUUUAAAAGAAUAUUCAAUUGUUUAAAUCAAAUGAAGAAAUCGCAACCCAAUACGUUAGGGCACAAUUUUUCAAAAUAUUAAACAUUGAAUAUUGUAUUUAUUUCGAAAAAUCCUCGUCUCGAGAAACAACAUGUCACAUCCAAUGCGUUAGGACACAACAUAUUGAAUUCUCGAUAACGGGCUUUUUAUCAUUUUUAAAAAGAGUAAUCUCGAUUAUUUAAAUUCAACGAAGGAAGUCAUAACCCAAUACGUUAGCGCUCGAUUCUCUCGAAGAUCCAAAAUACCGAAUAUUACUUAUUUUUAAAAUUUUUCAUUUUUUGAUAAAUUCGAGUAAAAAAUAGAAGCAAAAUAAUGAUAAUGAUGACAAUGUAAAUGAGAUAAUACAAGCACAACUAAAAUGAGCACCAAGUAAAAUACGUAAUAAACAAAUCAAAGAUACAUGAAAUAAUAAAUGAAUAAAAAAUCUAAAGCAUUCCAUAAAAAUAAUAAACGCUUCAAUAAAUGAAUAAAUAAAUAUCAAAUAUAACAAUGAUAACAAUACGAAUUAUAAAAAUGAAAUAUUUAUGUAUGUGCAUCUAUAUAUUUAAAUUAUAAAUUAUGAAGGUAUAUACAUAUAUAUAUACAUAAAAAAACAAAUAUGCAUAUCUAUGUAUAUAUAUAAAAAUUAUAAAGCAUAAAAAACAUAAAUAUAUACAUAUAUGUAAAAACGUAUGUUAAUGUAUGUAUAUAUAUAACAAAAUAUGAAAAAUGGUAUAAAUAAAUAAAUAAAAUGCAAUAAUAAUAAUGAUAAUAAUAAUAAAUUCAAUAAUAAAUAAAAUGACAGGAUUGAACUGAAAACAAAACAAAAUGCCAGGGGAGAAAUCAAAAUAAAAUAAGGCCAAAGAUCGAUUUGCGAUGCGCGUAGAAGAAGGGGGAUCGAUUGAGCAAUUUUCCCCAACCUUAUGCGCAGUGCUCCACGCUGGACUAAAUCGAAACGCAUAAAAAGCAAAUAGCCAAAUUUAAAAUUUUGAAUGGGACCAGAUCGCGCCAUAUUGCAUGAACGGAGGGACCGGAUGUGCAAAUAGUCCCUCCGAGCCAGAACGCGCGGAUCUUAGACCCGUUCGGGACGGGUUUUCGGGUCCUAUAAAAAUAAAAAGAAAGAAAAAAAAAAACUAAAUCAUUCAUCAUUUAAAAAAACAGAGACACCCUCUGGUUCUCUCUCCCUGCCUCAGCCCUUAAACCCAGGCCACCGUCUCCGCCUCCAUGGCCAGUGGCCGGAGUUACGCGAGAACGGCCCCUUUGCCUUCCCCUUUUGAAGCGUCCCCGAAGGUUAAGCCUUCUUAACCGCGAGACCAAAAAAAAGGGAUGGAACGCCCAUUUUGCUCAACUUCGACGACGAUGAAGACGGGCUCCGACGCCGGCCUCUGAAGCAAACAGGUAUUCCUCCUUUCCCUUUUUUGUUUUGUUUAAAAAAUGUAGAAAAGGAAGCAGAAAAAGAAGAAAAUAAAUAAGAAAAACGUAAGAACAGAGAAGAAAAUAGACUAAGUUCAACCUUUAAAUUUUGAUCUGCUCUUUUUUUUGCCUUCCAAACGUUGUAAAAAAAAUGUACAGAGAUAUUGUUUGGCUUUUAUAACCAAUUUACAUUGUAUUUGAUUGUAUUUUGAUGUCUUCCACUAACUGUUGCAUGCUCCUACUUUCUUUCCUGCCAUUUUCGCAGGUGUUGAUGGCGCUAGUAGCGGUGGGUGGCGAUGGGACAAAGCGAUGGCAGAGGGAUGGGCACGGCGCUAGGCUUGGCUAGGGUUUCCGCCCUAGUCUGACUGGGUUUGGGGCCGGUUGGGCUUAUUGGGCCGUUUGGGCUCUGCCAAUUGGGCCCGGGCAAUAAUUGAACUGUACAGCUGCCCCUCUUUGCUCGUUGUCGUGUAACGAGAACAGAGCAAAGACUAAGAAAGACCAAUUUUGCCCGAUCUCACCGAGCUUUAACGUAUCCUAGUGCUCGUCUUCUUCAAAAAGCCUUACUCCAAUCCACUGUGUCUCGUUGCUUCAAUCCACUUACUGCACUUCCAAGGGAUCUGACGUGUAGCUUCAAUCUUCUUUGCAGCAACUUCAGGGAGAUAGGAUUAUCGGCUUCAAUCUGCUCCGCUAUAAUCUCAGGGAGAUAAGAUCUAAAAUUCUUCAGUCUAUUCCACUGUAAUCUCAGGGAAAUAAGACCUGACACGAUCUACUCUGCUGUAACUUCAGAGAGAUAAGAUCCUUCAUUUUAAUCCGCUCCACUGUAAUCUCAGGGAGAUAGGAUUACUGGCUUCAAUCUGCUCCACUGUAACCUCAGGGAGAUAAGAUCUGAAAUUCUUUGGUCUGUUCCACUGUAAUCUCAGGGAAAUAAGACCUGAUGUGAUCUUCUCUACUGUAACUUCAGAGAGAUAAGAUCCUUUAAUCCGCUCCAUUGUAAUCUCAAGGAGAUAGGAUUACUAUCUUUGAUCUGCCGCUGUAAUCUCAGGGAGAUAAGAUCUCUAGCUUCAAUCUGCUCCGCUGUAACCUCAGGGAGAUAAGAUCUGAAAUUCUUUGGUCUGUUCCCCUGUAAUCUCAGGGAGAUAAGACCUGUAUAAUGAACCUAAUUAUGCCUAAUGAUUAGGAUGACAUGAUCAAAAUGAAACAAAUGCUCCUAACUAGACAUAUGUGAAUGGUGUUUGCAUGAAUGCAGAAUUUUAUUUUUCCGAGAAUGAUCUCGCUUAGGUUAUCACUACUCGAAGUUUAUCAAGGUUUUGUGACUGACGUGCUACAACGCCUUCUCGCUUGACUGAUUUUUCUGAAGGAACAUUUAGCCAGACUGUCCCCAUUGUAAACCUCAAAGUUAUAUCCAUUGGGACGCCAAAAUUUGUACCAUCAUUCUCUCACAGUAAUCUAAGGGUAGAAAUGUGGCUUUUCCUCUGUCCUCUUUUAUCACAAUUCGGGGAUAUAGGAUCUGAACCGUUCUGGUUUCCUACACCAUUCUCAAGGUGUCGUACCAAAGUCUUAUGCGCAAGUGAAGGCUUUUCUCCGAGGUAACCUCUUCCUAUUGCCUGAUGAUCAUUGCUUGCUUGUUCAUUUAAGCUUUGUAAUUAACACGACAGCUUGUCAUUUUGUUUACUCAAUGUUUAGACAAACAAAAUCUGAAAGGAUAGUCUUUAACUUAGACUCUUCCUUCUUAGAUUUUCAACCUUUAAAAUUGGCGUGUUCUAAACAUUAGUCCUGUUUCAGGUUCCUAUAUUAUUUAGAACUUUUCAGAGUAAUAUGCAAAACUUCUUUUCUGAAAGUUUUAUUAGUUCGUUAAUCAAUAUUCCUAUGCAACAUGUUUGCAAAAAGAUCAUAACAAUGGAUAAGAAUAAAGCUAGUUCUGAUCAUAACUCAAAUAAAACAUCAAAGAUGGCGAAAGAAAGGUAACAAAGAAGUGGAUUGAGAAUGUGCGUUUUCACAAAAGGAAAGGAAGAAAGAAAGAAAAUAAAAAAAAUGUAUUUUCAAGAAUACACAUAAGAACUAGGUGCCCCAGUUAUCGCCGCUUGAGUUUCUCUGUACAAACUUUCCAAAGACCCUUCUAAGUUUGACAUGUGUUCAGGAGAUCUGCAAUACUCUGUCAAUGUUCCAAGACGUUGCAUAUCCUUUCUUAUUGGUUCAAGUAAAGGAAGAUCAUCAUAUCCCCCCGAUCAAAAUUUGAUCCGCUCAAGUCCUGAUGUUCCAAUCCUGCCCAAUACUUGAGUCGCCCUUUUCGGGUUUUCGACUCAAGCCCUCUUUGGUCUCAAAGUGCCCUUUACGGGUUUUCACCUUAGCCUCUCCAAAGUCCCCUUUUUUUUUUUUUAGGAAGCAAAGCGCCCUUUACGGGUUUUCACUUUGGUUCCCCUUUCUUUCAAGUGAAGUAUUUCUUGACGGAGUCUGCGUUUACAGGAUUUGGUAAACUUUUGCCAUCCAUCAUAGGAUCAAAGCUCCACCGGAAAAGGCCUUCUUUACAACAUAAGGGCCUUCCCAAUUUAGCAUCCAUUUUCCUCUAAAAUCUUUUUGCAUAGGAAGAAUUUUUUUAGUACCAAGUCCCCUUCACGAAAUUCGGGGCGAACCUUUUAUUAUAGGCUCGCAUCAUUCGUUUCUGGUACAUUUGCCCGUGGUGAAUAGCUCUUAGCCUCUUUUCUUCUAUUAGGUUCAACUGAUCGUACCGAGAUUGGAUCCAAUCGGCUUCAUCCAACUGUAGCUCAGAUAACACCCGUAGAGAAGGGAUUUCAACUUCAAUGGGUAAUACUGCCUCCAUUCCAUAAACCAGAGAAAAAGGUGUUGCCCCAGUAGAAGUUCUAACAGAUGUUCGAUAGGCAAGGAGAGCAAAUGAUAAUUUCUCAUGCCAAUCCUUGUAGGUUUCAGUCAUUUUCCCCACAAUCCUUUUAAUGUUUUUAUUGGCCGCCUCCACUGCACCAUUCAUUUUGGGACGAUACGGCGAUGAGUUAUGAUGCUUAAUUUUAAAUUUGCUACAAACUUCAGCUAUUGAGCUAUUAUUCAAGUUCAUCGCAUUGUCGGAUAUGAUCCUCUCAGGCAUUCCAUAUCGACAAAUGAUCCUUCUUCAAGAAUUUGCUGACUACUGCUUUCGUGACAUUUGCAUAUGAAGCAGCUUCCACCCACUUGGUAAAGUAAUCAAUUACUACGAAGAUGAAGCGAUGCCCAUUAGAAGCUUUGGUGAUAUUGGCCCAAUAACAUCCAUACCCCACAUGGAAAACGGCCAAGGAGAGGUCAUGACGUGAAGAGGUGAAGGAGGCGCGUGUAUUUUAUCUCCGUAAAUUUGGCAUUUGUGGCACUUCUUGGCAUGAUCAAUACAAUCUCCUUCCAUGGUGGGCCAAUAGUACCCAAAUCUCAUGAUCUGUCUGGCCAUCGUGAAACCACUGGCGUGCGUCCCACAAAUACCCUCAUGGACUUCUUCCAAAAUUUUCUUGGCUUCCACAGCAUCCACACAUCUUAACAGUACUUGAUCCUUCCUUCUUUAUAUAACACUUCUCCAUCUAAGACAUAUUCAAUGGCUAUCUUUCUCAGAGUUCUUUUGUCAUUCUCUGUCGCUUGAUCAGGGUAUUCCCGAUUCUUCACAUAUUGUAAGAUACUCUGAUACCAAGGACAAUCAUCUUUUCCCUCCUCCUCAAUAUUGCAGCAAUUAGCCGGGUCUCAAAGAUACUCAUCUGAACAAGUCUCAUUGCCUCAAGUCUAUUCACCUGAAUCAUCGAAGCUAGAGUAGCUAAUGCAUCAGCCAUUUGGUUUUCCUCCCGUGGGAGGUAAUAGAAGGUGAUAUCGUCAAACUCCUCAGCCAAUUCAAGAACUAGUUUUCUAUAACCGAUUAGCUUAGGAUCUCUAGUCUCCCACUCCCCUUUGAGUUGGUAUAUCACCAACGCUGAAUCCCCGUAUACUCUCAGUACUUUGAUGUUCCGUUCAAUGGCUGCACGAAUGCCCAUAAUACAUGCUUCAUAUUCUGCCAUGUUAUUUGUACAAUCGAAGUCCAACUUGCUAGCAACAGGAUAAUGAUCUCCACUUGGGGAUACCAAAACUGCCCCAACUCCAUUACCCGUAGCAUUUGAAGCUCCAUCAAAAUUUAACUUCCAUACGUGAUCCAUUUGAGGAUUUUCUUCAGUAUUCGCCACAUACAUCAAGUCCUCGUUUGGAAAAUCGAAAUUCAAAGAUUCAUAGUCCUCCAAGGCUCUACUAGCUAGGAAAUCGGCUAUUGCACUUCCCUUUAUGGCCUUCUGACUGACAUAUACUAUAUCAAAUUCUGAGAGCAAGAUCUGCCAUCUAGCCAUUCUCCCGUUCAAAGCAGUCGAUUCCAUCAUAUAUUUUAAAGGAUCUAACUUUGAAAUCAACCAAGUCGUGUGAUACAACAUAUACUGCCUCAGUCUUCGGGUUGCCCAGAUUAGAGCACAACACAACUUCUCAAUUGAUGAGUACCUCAUUUCGCAAUCGGUAAAUUUCUUACUGAGAUAGUAUAUUGCCCUUUCUUUCUUUCCCGUCUCAUCAUGUUGGCCCAAUACGCAUCCCAUGGAAUUCUCCAACACUGUUAGAUACAAUAUCAAUGGCCUAUCUGGACUUGGAGGUGAUAAGACUGGAGUAUUAGCCAAGUACUGCUUUAUCUUAUCGAAAGCCCUCUGACACUCUUCAUCCCAUUCGCCCGGAUUAUGUUUCUUUAAGAGCCGGAAUACUGGAUCACAUUUCUCUGUCAGUUGUGAGAUGAACCGAGCAAUGUAAUUCAGCCUCCCUAGGAAACCUCGAACCUCCUUCUGAGUGCGCGGGGGAGGUAAAUCUCGUAUUGCCUUUACUUUGUCUGGGUCAACCUCGAUCCCCUUUUUGCUAACUAUGAAGCCUAAUAACUUCCCUGAUCUGGCUCCAAACGUGCACUUGGCCGGGUUAAGCUUGAGCUGAAAUUUCUUUAAUCUCAAAAAUAACCUUUUCAAGACCUGAACAUGCUCUUCUUCCGUUCUAGACUUCGCGAUCAUAUCGUCAACAUAGACUUCGAUCUCCUUGUGCAUCAUGUCGUGAAACAAAGUCACCAUAGCUCUUUGAUACGUUGCCCCGCAUUCUUCAAUCCGAAGGGCAUUACCUUGUAACAGAAUGUUCAUCAUAAGGUAAUGAAUGUGGUUUUCCUCAUGUCUCCAGGAUGCAUCUUUAUUUGAUUGUAUCCAGAGAAACCGUCCAUGAAAGAAAACAAUAGCCGGCCGUGUUAUCUACCAAAGUAUCAAUGUGAGGCAGUGGAAAGUUGUCCUUUGGACUAGCCUUGUUUAAAUCCCUAUAAUCCACACAUUCGUACCUUUCCAUCUUUUUUGGGAACCGGGACGAUGUUGGCUACCCAAUCCGAAUACUUGACCUCUUGUAAGAAACCAGCGUCGAAUUGUCUUUUGACUUCUUCUCUUAUUUUCAACACAAUGUCAGGUCUCAUUCUCCUAAGCUUCUGUUGAACGGGUUUACAAUCCUCCUUUAUGGGCAGACGAUGCACACACAAUGUUAGUACUUAGCCCAGGCAUAUCUUGGUACGACCACGCGAAAACAUCCUUGAACUCUCGGAGCAAAUUAAUAAGGUCUUGCCUUGUCUUUGCGGUGAUUUCAGUUCCAAUUUUCACCUCCUUUCCAUCCUCUAGGCUCACUAUUUCUAACGAUUCCCUAUGAGGUAGGAUAUGCUUAUCCUCUUGUUCCAUCAUUCUUAACAAGUCCGGAGAUGCAUCAUAAUCUUCGUCAUUUUCAAAGUCGUGGGAUCCCUCUGAACACACUUCUUGCUCAAAAAUAGGCUCCGUGUUUGAGGCAGCGUCACUCAUGUCAUUGAUUAUCUGAAGACCUAUGAGGGCAUAUCAAAGAAUAUACCAAGAAUAUAAAUUUAUGAAUAUGUUUGUGCAAAAGAAUUACAAAUGAAAGAAUUAUUUGUAAGACAAUCAACCAAAUGAAAAAUAUGAAAGGAAAAAAAGUGACUGAUCGAGAUGAACGUAGACACGUAUUUCAUUAAAAUAAUGAUAUUUAGGCCCAAUGCCUAUUUCACAAAAGAUUUCAUAUCGUUUCUAGGCCAACAAACAACAGGAAUAUUUUGAGCAUUACUCUGAAUAAGCCCUAAAGACUACAGGGAUUUCUUCAGCAGUCCAAUUGUUUAGCUCGCUUCCAGGCUCAUAAGGGCAGAUCUCCAACAAAGCCCUCCUUUCCGUUGCUUCUAUGGCGUUGGUAUAAACGUUUUCCAACAUUCCUCCCAUGCCGCUACCGGGCACUCCACAUUCAGAAUGAAUAAAUCUCCCGACACAAAAGAUGUAGAUAUGUGGGGAAAGGUUAAAGGCUCACACUUAGCUUCAUGUCCAUUCAAACGCGCCUUCUUCUCUCUUGUCUCUUCUCUACUUCUUCCUUCUUCUGCUUCAUGUCUGGCUUGUACCCUAAACCAAAUCUAUCAAACUUUUCCUUCGGCAUUGGUGCCUCAAUCCUUCCCUGAAGAUAUUUUCCCAAUCCUUUCCCGGGUAAGGCUCCUCUUCCUACCAUCAAUCGCAAUCCCAUCUUAGUGGUCCUGGAUAUUUUCGGUACUGGAAUUCUAUUUCCCUCCGCAAUAAACAUCGCGUUCACAAAUUCGGGAGUCGGUAUGCACGAUGAGGCACUAGAAUGUACGCACGGCACUAGAAUGUUCUUUCGGUCGUUAGAAUUUGUGAACGCGAUGUUUAUUGCGGAGGGAAAUAGAAUUCCAGUACCGAAAAUAUCCAGGACCACUGAGAUGGGAUUGCGAUUGAUGGUAGGAAGCGGAGCCUUACCCGGGAAAGGAUUGGGAAAAUAUCUUCAGGGAAGGAUUGAGGCACCAAUGCCGAAGGAAAAGUUUGAUAGAUUUGGUUUAGGGUACAAGCCAGACAUGAAGCAGAAGAAGAAAGAAGUAGAGAAGAGACAAGAGAGAAGAAGGGCGCGUUUGAAUGGACAUGAAGCUAAGUGUGAGCCUUUAACCUUUCCCCACAUAUCUACAUCUUUUGUGUCGGGAGGAUUUAUUCAUUCUGAAUGUGGAGUGUCCGGUAGCGGCAUGGGAGGAAUGUUGGAAAAUGUUUAUACUAACGCCAUAGAAGCAACGGAAAGGAGGGCUUUGUUGGAGAUCUGCCCUUAUGAGCCUGGAAGCGAGCUAAACAAUUGGACUGCUGAAGAAAUCCCUGUAGUCUUUAGGGCUUAUUCAGAGUAAUGCUCAAAACAUUCCUGUUGUUUGUUGGCCUAGAAACGAUAUGAAAUCUUUUGUGAAAUAGGCAUUGGGCCUAAAUAUCAUUAUUUUAAUAAAAUACGUGUCUACGUUCAUCUCGAUCAGUCAUUUUUUUCCUUUCAUAUUUUCAUUUGGUUGAUUGUCUUACAAAUAAUUCUUUCAUUGUAAUUCUUUUGCACAAACAUAUUCAUAAAUUUAUAUUCUUGGUAUAUUCUUUGAUCUGCCCACAUAGGUCUUCAGAUAUCAAUGACAUGAGUGACGCUGCCUCAAACGCGGAGCCUAUUUUGAGCAAGAAGUGUGUUCAGAGGGAUCCCACGACUUUGAAAAUGACGAAGAUUAUGAUGCAUCUCCGGACUUGUUAAGAAUGAUGGAACAAGAGGAUAAGCAUAUCCUACCUCAUAGGGAAUCGUUAGAAAUAGUGAGCCUAGAGGAUGGAAAGGAGGUGAAAAUUGGAACUGAAAUCACCGCAAAGACAAGGCAAGACCUCAUCAAUUUGCUCCGAGAGUUCAAGGAUGUUUUUCGCGUGGUCGUACCAAGAUAUGCCUGGGCUAAGUACUAACAUUGUGGUGCAUCGUCUGCCCAUAAAUGAGGAUUGUAAACCCGUUCAACAGAAGCUUAGGAGAAUGAGACCUGACAUUGUGUUGAAAAUAAGAGAAGAAGUCAAAAGACAAUUCGACGCUGGUUUCUUACAAGAGGUCAAGUAUUCGGAUUGGGUAGCCAACAUCGUCCCUGUUCCCAAAAAGAUGGAAAGGUACGAAUGUGUGUAGAUUAUAGGGAUUUAAACAAGGCUAGUCCAAAGGACAACUUUCCACUGCCUCAUAUUGAUACUUUGGUAGAUAACACGGCGGGCUAUUCAUUAUUUUCUUUCAUGGACGGUUUUUCUGGAUACAAUCAAAUAAAGAUGCAUCCUGGAGACAUGAGGAAAACCACAUUCAUUACCUUAUGGGGAACAUUCUGUUACAAGGUAAUGCCCUUCGGAUUGAAGAAUGCGGGAGCAACAUAUCAAAGAGCUAUGGUGACUUUGUUUCACGACAUGAUGCACAAAGAGAUCGAAGUCUAUGUUGACGAUAUGAUCGCGAAGUCUAGAACGGAAGAAGAGCAUGUUCAGGUCUUGAAAAGUUAUUUUUGAGAUUAAAGAAAUUUCAGCUCAAGCUUAACCCGGCCAAAUGCACGUUUGGAGCCAGAUCAGAGAAGUUAUUAGGCUUCAUAGUUAGCAAAAAAGGGAUCGAGGUUGACCCAGACAAAGUAAAGGCAAUACGAGAUUUACCUCCCCCGCGCACUCAGAAGGAGGUUCGAGAUUUCCUAGGGAGGCUGAAUUACAUUGCUCGGUUCGUCUCACAACUGACAGAGAAAUGUGAUCCAGUAUUCCGGCUCUUAAAGAAACAUAAUCCGGGUGAAUGGGAUGAAGAGUGUCAGAGGGCUUUCGAUAAGAUAAAGCAGUACUUGGCUAAUACCCCAGUCUUAUCACCUCCAAGUCCAGAUAGGCCAUUGAUAUUGUAUCUAACAGUGUUGGAGAAUUCCAUGGGAUGCGUAUUGGGCCAACAUGAUGAGACAGGAAAGAAAGAAAGGGCAAUAUACUACCUCAGUAAAAAAUUUACCGAUUGCGAAAUGAGGUACUCAUCAAUUGAGAAGUUGUGUUGCGCUCUAAUCUGGGCAACCCGAAGACUGAGGCAGUAUAUGUUGUAUCACACGACUUGGUUGAUUUCAAAGUUAGAUCCUUUAAAGUAUAUGAUGGAAUCGACUGCUUUGAACGGGAGAAUGGCUAGAUGGCAGAUCUUGCUUUCAGAAUUUGAUAUAGUAUAUGUCAGUCAGAAGGCCAUAAAGGGAAGUGCAAUAGCCGAUUUCCUAUCUAGUAGAGCCUUGGAGGACUAUGAAUCUUUGAAUUUCGAUUUUCCAAACGAGGACUUGAUGUAUGUGGCGAAUACUGAAGAAAAUCCUCAAAUGGAUCACGUAUGGAAGUUAAAUUUUGAUGGAGCUUCAAAUGCUACGGGUAAUGGAGUUGGGGCAGUUUUGGUAUCCCCAAGUGGAGAUCAUUAUCCUGUUGCUAGCAAGUUGGACUUCGAUUGUACAAAUAACAUGGCAGAAUAUGAAGCAUGUAUUAUGGGCAUUCGUGCAGCCAUUGAACGGAACAUCAAAGUACUGAGAGUAUACGGGGAUUCAGCGUUGGUGAUAUACCAACUCAAAGGGGAGUGGGAGACUAGGGAUCCUAAGCUAAUCGGUUAUACAAAAUUAGUUCUUGAAUUGGCUGAGGAGUUUGACGAUAUCACCUUCUAUUACCUCCCACGGGAGGAAAACCAAAUGGCUGAUGCUUUAGCUACUCUAGCUUCGAUGAUUCAGGUGAAUAGACUUGAGGCAAUGAGGCCUGUUCAGAUGAGUAUCUCUGAGACCCCGGCUAAUUGCUGCAAUAUUGAGGAGGAGGGAAAAGAUGAUUGUCCUUGGUAUCAGAGUAUCCUACAAUAUGUGAAGAAUCGGGAAUACCCUGAUCAAGCGACAGAGAAUGACAAAAGAACUCUGAGAAAGAUAGCCAUUGAAUAUGUCUUAGAUGGAGAAGUGUUAUAUAAAAGAAGGAAGGAUCAAGUACUGUUAAGGUGUGUGGAUGCUGUGGAAGCCAAGAAAAUUUUGGAAGAAGUCCAUGAGGGUAUUUGUGGGACGCACGCCAGUGGUUUCACGAUGGCCAGACAGAUCAUGAGAUUUGGGUACUAUUGGCCCACCAUGGAAGGAGAUUGUAUUGAUUAUGCCAGGAAGUGCCACAAAUGCCAAAUUUACGGAGACAAAAUACACGUGCCCCCUUCACCUCUUCACGUCAUGACCUCUCCUUGGCCGUUUUCCAUGUGGGGUAUGGAUGUUAUUGGGCCAAUAUCACCAAAGGCUUCUAAUGGGCAUCGCUUCAUCUUCGUAGUAAUUGAUUACUUUACUAAGUGGGUGGAGGCUGCUUCAUAUGCAAAUGUCACGAAAGCAGUAGUCAGCAAAUUCUUGAAGAAGGAGAUCAUUUGUCGAUAUGGAAUGCCUGAGAGGAUCAUAUCCGACAAUGCGAUGAACUUAAAUAAUAGCACAAUAGCUGAAGUUUGUAGCAAAUUUAAAAUUAAGCAUCAUAACUCAUCGCCGUAUCGUCCCAAAAUGAAUGGUGCAGUGGAGGCGGCCAAUAAGAACAUUAAAAGGAUUGUGGGGAAAAUGACUGAAACCUACAAGGAUUGGCAUGAGAAAUUAUCAUUUGCUCUCUUUGCCUAUCGAACAUCUGUUAGAACUUCUACUAGGGCAACGCCUUUUUCUCUGGUUUAUGGAAUGGAGGCAGUAUUACCCAUUGAAGUUGAAAUCCCUUCUCUACGGGUGUUAUCUGAGCUACAGUUGGAUGAAGCCGAUUGGAUCCAAUCUCGGUACGAUCAGUUGAACCUAAUAGAAGAAAAGAGGCUAAAAGCUAUUCACCAUGGGCAAAUGUACCAGAAACGAAUGAUGCGAGCCUAUAAUAAAAAGGUUCGUCCCCGAGAAUUUCGUGAAGGGGACUUGGUACUAAAAAAGAUUCUUCCUAUGCAAAAAGAUUUUAGAGGAAAAUGGAUGCCAAAUUGGGAAGGCCCUUAUGUUGUAAAGAAGGCCUUUUCUGGUGGAGCUUUGAUCCUAUGCGAGAUGGAUGGCAAAAGUUUACCAAAUCCUGUAAACGCAGACUCCGUCAAGAAAUACUUCACUUGAAAGAAAGGGGAACCAAAGUGAAAACCCGUGAAGGGCGCUUUGCUUCCUAAAAAAAAAAAAACUUUGGAGAGGCUAAGGUGAAAACCCGUAAAGGGCACUUUGAGACCAAAGAGGGCUUGAGUCGAAAACCCGAAAAAGGUGACUCAAGUACUGGGCAGGAUUGGAACAUCAGGAUUUGAGCGGAUCAAAUUUUGAUCGGGGGCAUAUGAUUAUCUUGCUUUACUUGAACCAAUAAGAAAGGAUAUGCAACGUCUUGGAUCAUGGACAGAGUAUUGCAGAUCUCCUGAACACAUGUCAAACUCAGAAGGGUCUUCGGAAAGUUUGUACAGAGAAACUCAAGCUGCGAUAAUUAGGGCACCUAGUUCUUAUGUGUAUUCUUGAAAAUACAUUCUUUUAUUUUCUUUCUUUCUUCCUUUCUUUUUGUGAAAACGCACAUUCUCAAUCCACUUCUUUGUUAACCUUCUUUCGCCAUCUUUGAUGUUUUAUUCGAGUUAUGAUCGGAACUAGCUUUAUUCUUAUCCAGUGUUGUGAUCUUUUUGCAAAUAUGUUGCAUAGGAAUAAUGAUUAACAAACUAAUAAAACUUUCAGGAAAGAAGUUUUGCACAUUACUCUGGAAAAUUUCUAAAUAAUAUAGGGACCUGAAACAUGACUAUUGUUUAGAAAAUACCAAGUUUAAAGGGUGAAAUAUCUAAGAAGGAAGAGUCUAAGUUAAAGACUAUCCUUUCAGAUUUUGUUGUCUAAACAUUGAUUGAACAAAAUGACAAGCUGUCGUGUUACAAAGCUUAAAUGAACAAGCAAGCAAUGAUCAUCAGGCAAUAGGAAGAGGUUACCUCGGAGAAGAGAGCCUUCACUUACGCAUAAGACUUUGGUACGACACCUUGAGAAUGGUGUAGGAAACCAGAACGGUUCAGAUCCUAUAUCCCCGAAUUGUGAUAAAAGAGGACAGAGGAAAAGCCACAUAUUUCUACCCUUAGAUUACUGUGAGAGAAUGAUGGUACAAAUUUUGGCGUCCCAGUGGAUAUAACUUUGAGGUUUACAAUGGGGACAGUCUGGCUAAAUGUUUCUUCAGAAAAGUCAGUCAAGCGAGAAGGCGUUGAAGCACGUCAGUCACAAAGCCUUAGUAAACUUCGAGUAAUGACAACCUAAGCGAGAUCAUUCUCGGAAAAAUAAAAUUCUGCAUUCAUGCAAACACCAUUCACAUAUGUCUAGUUAGGAGCAUUUGUUUCAUUUUGAUCAUGUCAUCCUAAUCAUUAGGCAUAAUUAGGUUUAUUAUACAGGUCUUAUCUCCCUGAGAUUACAGUGGAGUAGACCGAAAAAUUUCAGAUCUUAUCUCCCUGAGGUUACAGUGGAGCAGAUUGAAGCCAGAGAUCUUAUCUCUCUGAAAUUACAGCGGAGUAGAUUGAAGCUAGUAAUCCUAUCUCUCUGAAGUUACAGUGGAGCGGAUUAAAAUAAAGGAUCUUAUCUCUCUGAAGUUACAGUAGAGUAGAUCACAUCAGAUUGAAGCCAGAGAUCUUAUCUCCCUGAGAUUACAGUGGAACAGACCGAAAAAUUUCAGAUCUUAUCUCCCUGAGGUUACAGUGGAGCAGAUUGAAGCCAGAGAUCUUAUCUCUCUGAAAUUACAGCGGAGUAGAUUGAAGCUAGUAAUCCUAUCUCUCUGAAGUUACAGUGGAGCGGAUUAAAAUAAAGGAUCUUAUCUCUCUGAAGUUACAGUAGAGUAGAUCACAUCAGAUUGAAGCCAGAGAUCUUAUCUCCCUGAGAUUACAGUGGAACAGACCGAAAAAUUUCAGAUCUUAUCUCCCUGAGGUUACAGUGGAGCAGAUUGAAGCCAGAGAUCUUAUCUCUCUGAAAUUACAGCGGAGUAGAUUGAAGCUAGUAAUCCUAUCUCUCUGAAGUUACAGUGGAGCGGAUUAAAAUAAAGGAUCUUAUCUCUCUGAAGUUACAGUAGAGUAGAUCACAUCAGAUUGAAGCCAGAGAUCUUAUCUCCCUGAUGUUGCAGUGGAACAGACUGAAAACAUAAAUUUCGUUCCCUUGCGAAGGAGAUUAAAGCUACAAAUUAGAUCGAAGCAACAAGGCACAGUGGACGGAAUAAGGCUACCUGAAGAAGAGAAGUGUCAAAAAAAAGUCAAGACUCGGCAAGACCGGGCAAAAUUGGCCCUUUUGAUGUCUUUGCUCUAUUCUCGUUACACGAAAAUGAGCAAAGAGGGGCAACUGUAAAAGUCCAUUUUUGCCCGGGCCCAUACCAACAAAAUAACCCAAAUAAUAAAACCCAAAACCUAAAAUCAACCUAGCCCAACAUCCAAGCCCAAUCCCAAAACCCUAGACUCCCACUUGCCUCUUCCCAUUCUCCCAUGUUGUCUGCCACCAGCACCACUCCCACUCUCCCAUGCUGUCUGCCACCACCAUGCCUUUUGCCGCACCUGCAAACAAGCAAAGGAAAAGGACAAAAAAUGGAGCAAUAAACAUUAACAGAAUAUUGUAUUUUUGGCUAUAAAAGCCACAAGCAAAAUCGGACCAAGGAGGAAAAAAGAAGAGAAACAAAAAAAAGGAGAAGGGGACUAUUGUAACAAAAAAGAGAAGAUUCGGCUUUUGAAAAAAUUGAAAGAAAUAAAAAAGGGGCUUUAGAAGGUGAUUCACCUUGUUUUUUUUUGUUUUCUUUAUUUUCGUUCUAUUUCGGUUUUUCUAUAGUAUUUCUUUCUCUUUUUUAUUAUCAACACACAUAUAUAUAAGAUAAAAAAAAAUAAAAGUAAAAAGGAGUUUAACUGUUUCCGGCGGCGGUGGAAAGAGGAAGAACCGAAAGGUCUCUUUCGAUUUUGGCCCUUUUCGCCGGGAUUUCAGCUUUUCUAACCCCAGAUCUGGACCCUAUUCGCAAAAAGGAGAAAAAUAGAGCUUUUUUUUUGGUUUUUCGGCCACCGCGAACGGCGGCGUCGUCGCCGGCGUCCGGCGACCGGUGCGGUGGUCGAUGGCCGGCAAAGGGGGCUCUUCCUCUCUUUUUACGGACACAAGAACAAUAAAAACAUAAACUUUGAAUCGGAGAAGUAAUUUUCGUUUCUUUAUUUUUGUGUGUUUUUACAUCUAGUUUGAUUUCUUUUUAUUUCUUUCUACUUACGAAAAUAAAAACAAAAGAAAUAAGGAGAGGAGAAACUCACCGGAGUUGGCCGUGACCGUGCCGCCGGGGUUUUUCUUCCAUCGUCGGCCGUCGGUCUUGGUGGCGUGGUGACACUCAAGGUGUUAAGAAACCCAAGUGUUGGGUGUUUAAAAAAAUGGUGGUUUGAAAAAAAGCAGAGCCUUUUUCCUCUAGCAAAUUCAAAAAGUGAAAGAAUAAAAAUAUAAAACAUUUUUUGUCUUUUUUUUUAAUCAUGAACGGUGCAUUAGUGGGGAAUCUUGCACAUGCUUGUCCUUAAUGGGUAAUUUAUGCAUUUAGUCCCUCCAUCUUGCGUUGAAAUGCAAUCAAACCUUUUAUUUUUUUUUAUUUGGGCCGCGAGUUUUGUUUCUGUUUCAAUCAGGUCCUUUGACCAUGUAUGGUCCUUUGCGCUGAAACGUUGCACUCUAGGACUAGGGAAUAUUUCCCUUUUCAGUCCUUCCCUUUUCGCGCGCCUCACAUUUUAAUCUUUUACUCUAUUUCAUUUUUGAUUUCAGCCCUGAGAUUUCGUUUCCGUUUUGAUUUAGUCCUAUUAUUAUUAUUAUUAUUAUUAUUAUUAUUAUUACCUAUUUGUUUAUAUUUAUUUUAUUUAAUUUUCGGCACAUAUAUACAUAUACAUGCAUAUAUUUUUGUGAUAUACAUACAUUAUUUUUAUAACAUAUAUACUUAUAUAGUUUAUAUAUUUUACAACUUAUGUACAUAUCUAUAUAUCUAUAUAUAUAUUUUCAUUUUCCUAAAUAUAUACAUAUUUAUAUAUAAUCUUUAUAGUUUAAAAUAUACUUUUUUUAUAAAUCCGUAUAUACACACAUAUUACUAUUAAUUUAUAUACAUACAUAUCCUUUUAUUUUAUAAGUAUAUAUAUUUUAUAUGCACGUACAUACAUAUUUUUGUAUAUCUUAAUUUACAUAAAUAUAUAUAUACAUUUUCAAUAUAUUUUUUUAACAUGUAUCAAAAUUAACGUGUUUAUUCGUAUACAUACGUAUAUUUUCAUUAUUUUUAAACUUUAAUUUGUACAUACAUACUUUCUUUUAUUUUUUAACAUAUAUAUGUACUUACUUUUAUAUGUAUUUUAUUAUUUUCAUAUUCCAUAGUUUUAUACACCCAUAUAUAUGUACAUAUUUUUAUAUAUACACAUUUAUCGUUUCUUUUAUAUAUUAAAACAUACUUUAUACAUUUUGUUAAUUUAUAUAUAUACAUAUUUUAGUUUAUGUCUAUAUAUAUCUUUUUAUAUUUAAUGGUAUUUGUUACUUAUUUAUUUCAUUUUCGUCAUUAUGAAUGUUUUAAUUUAUUUGUUUAUAUAUAUUGUUAUUUUAUAUGAUUGUAGGUAUGACUUCUAUUUAUUUUAUAUUGUUGCUAUUGCUCGUAUUAUUUUUUAUUUUUAUGUGUAUUAUGAUUUUACCACGUAUAACAACAAUGUAAUUUGCUUUCACAUUUUUUACUACGAUUUUCGUGUUUUAUUUUACUCGAUAUAACAAAAUUUGUUUUAAAAAUAUUUCGUGUUUAGAUUCGAAAGGAUCGUACUCUAACUUACUGGGUUUCGAUUUUCAUAAUAAAUCUAAAUACACGAAUCUUUUCAAACUCAAGUUUUUAAACGAUCUCGGGAAUUAAGAAAAGAUCGUGCCCUAACUUACUGGGCCUGAUUUAUUUCUAAAACCAAGAUAAUAAAAUAUCUUUUAAAUAAGCAUUUUUCAUCCGCGUAUCGGGAAUUUGAGACAUUGUGUCCUAACUUACUAGAUAUGAUUCUCUUUCUCGAAUAACGUGAAAUAUCCCCUUUUUCCUGAAAAUUUUCAACGUUUUAAUACAAGGGUCGUAUUUUUAAAAUUCUUCAAGGUUCUCAAUUUUUGACAUUAAGACAUUAAGUAAUCAACUAGGUACCAAUUUUGGGCGUAUCGAGGGUGCUAAUCCUUCCUCGUGCGUAACCGACUCCCGAACCCGUUUUUCUAAAUUUCGUGGACCAAACUUGUUGUUUUAAUAAAAUCAAACCGUUUAUUAAAAACAACCCCUCUUUGAGGUGAUCCAAUCGCACCUCAUAAAAAAAAGAGGAUUGGUGGCGACUCCCGUUUCUUUUUUUUCAAAACCCAAGUCAACCCCAUUUUUCAUCCUAAAAAACAGUGUCAACAGUUACUAUAUCAAUAAUUGUAUUAAUAAUUUGUGAAAAUUGAAUCAAAUCAAAAUCUCAUGUAUAAAAUUACAAUUAGAUAAAAUUUCAUGUAUAAUUUCAAGAUUUAAUCCUAAUAUGUAUAAAUAAUUUAUGGUUUUUUAAGAAAUAAAUAAAUUAUGCUAUAGGUUUGCCUUUUUUUCACAAACACCAAGUUUUAUUAAAAUCUAGAUCUCAACAUGGUACAUUUUUAAAAUCAUAAAUCAUACAUACAAUACUUAGAAUUAUCUAUAGUCUCUUCUCACUAUUAAAUAAGAAGAUAAAUGCGAUCGAACCCAUGCCCUCACACUUUAAAAAUAAUGUCUCUACUAACUAAUAAAAUUCCCCUAUUAUAAAGUAAAAUGAAUGGGAAAAGUGAGCUGAUAUUUUGGGGAGGAAAGGAGAUCAUGAAGGGAAGGGAAACACCACAUGAACAACAAAUGAAAGAAUUGGAUGAAAUAUUGAAAUAUCUAUAUAAUCCUUUUCAAAUUCAAUGAUCAUGAUUUGGUUUUAUUAGUUUUAAAUACAAAAAAAAAGCAUUAUAGUUUACCUGGGUUUGAUCAUUGUUAUUGAUGGUCACUAAACUAACUAUAAUUACGACAAAGGCAAGCGCACCUAUCGAAUAAUAGUAUAGCUAUGGUGAGUAGAGAGUAUCGUAUCCACAAGGACUAAAAGUACUAGUAAUAACUAUUUUUCUAUUAUUUAGCAGAUAAGUUGGGGUGAUUGCUUUUAAUCUAAAUUUACUAAUCUAAAUUAAAUAAGAAGGAAACAGAAAAUGAAAUAGAAAAUAAUUGAAUAAUACCAAAGAGAAAGAUAAUACCCAGGAAAAAAUCCACCUAAACUUCACUUAUUAUUUUGAAUCCAAAUUAAAUGAUUUAUUCACUUGUUUCUUGAUCCGUAGAAAUCCCUAAUUUAUGUUAAUAUCUCUUUCGAGAGUAAGAACAACUAACUCUAGGUUGAUUAAUUGAAAUCUCUUUCUAAUUAAAACCUCUAUUAUUGCAUUAACUCGAUCUAUGGAUUCCUCUAUUAGAUUUGACUCUAAUCCAGUAGAUUUAUGUCGACCUAUUUCUAGAAUUGCAUGCAACUCCACUCAAUUAUGCUAGAUCUACUCUUAAACAGGGACUUUUUCUUCACUGAAAUAAGCACAUUAAACAUGAAUUAAUAUCCCAAAAAUAUUAAAACACGAAAUAAGCAUACAUAAUUGAGAACAAGAAUCAAGUAUUUAUCAUGUAAUUCAAAAAUCAAAUAAUAAGAUUCAUCAUAGGUAUCAUCUUCCCUAGGUAUCUAGGGAAUUUAGUUCAUAAUCUAAAAUGAAAACAUCUCAAAGUGAGAAAAACUACAAGACAUAAAGAAAUUCACUAAAACUUCGAAAGAAGUUAAAAGGAGAUCUUCAAUCUUGAAGGAGAUCCGCUUCUAAGUUGGCUUCGAUGGUGUUCUUCGAGUAAUUUCUUCAAUCUUCUCUGAGUGCUCCCUUAGGUCUUCUUCUAAUUGUUAUUUAUAGACUUUAGAAUGCUCAAAAAGCCUAAAAAUUGAGUUUUUUCGCAUGUUUAGAAACAGUGUGCAAAAUCGACACGGGCUGGCACAUGGGCGUAUGGCCAGCCCAUGUGGAAAUGAUCAGGCCGUGUGGAUGCUAAAAACAAUUCUUUUUGCUCAAUUUUGGCUUGUUUUUCGCUCCCCUAUGCUCACCUAAAUAUAGAAACAUGAAUUUAAAGUAUUAGGAGCAUCAAAUUUACUAAUUUACAUAAUAAAUCAUCCAAAAACGCAUCAAGAAUGGAAUUAAAAACAUGUUAAUUUUAUAGCUUAUUAGUUAUUAAAAAAGAUAUCUCAUUUAUUGUAAUGAAAUAGAGAUUUAGAGUCAAGAACACUUAUGAAUACCCACUCAAAUUUGAAAAAUAAAUUCAUAAACUCAUUUUGCAUCUUUUUAAAAGGAGAAUUAUACCUUUGUUAUUAGUUGCUUACGUAAUUUUUUGUUUUAUUUAUUCAUUUUUAAUUAUAAAAUAAUAAAAAUUAAUCAUAUAUUAGAGUAUUAUAUAGUUGACCAUAUUUAACGUAUUUGAUAAAAAUAUAUAUUUAAUUUUAAUUAAAAUAAUAUUUUAAUUUUUUUUCUAAUGGAGUUGGUACCAUUUAAUUGGAGGAUUUAUUAUAGUUAAGAUAUAAAAAUUUCAAAUAAGCACGCUCGUCAUGCAAUUAGGUAGUAGAAAUUGGCGGUGUCAAAGGGUUAGUCGCACCUAUUAACUAGUAGAUGCUUCCUAGUCUGCUAGCCUAGCUACUAAAACUUGUUACUUAACGUCAUUGAAUACUUACUUGACAUUUUAUUGAACUUAGUAGAGUCCAAAUGGGAGUUUGGGCGGCACAAAUUUUGACUCUAUUGAAGAGAUUUUGUCACAUACGAUGUAGCUGGGAAGAAAAUGCAAAUAUUUUCAUUUUUAAAUAAGUUAAUAUUACGAUGGUUAAACAUGUAUAGAUACAUCAGAUCUAGUUGGAGUGUUUAAGGUGUAAGUGAGACAUUAAUACUCACAAGUUAUUCGAAUUUAAUUUGAAAAAAAAUAUGACAUUGAUUCGGUAAUUAUCGAGCCUGAGCGACUCGAGCUAUCGGUCGAAUCAAAUUUGAACUUAAUAAUAACUGACUUGAAUGGCUCACAAGCCUUAUCGAGCUUUUCAGAUUUUUAUAUUAUUAAAUUAUAUUAUUGCCCUUAAGCUUAAUUAUCGAGCUUAAGUGUUAAAAUUGAUAAAAAAAACUUAAUCGAGAUCGAACUCAAGUAGCCGAGCUCGAGCUUAGAAAUAGACGUUUGAUCGAGCUCAAGCCAAGUAUCGAACUCCAAAUCUUGAAUCAAACUCAAGCUAGAACUUGACAGUGUUUAUGUUCGGCUCAGCUCGAUUGCACCCUUAAGUGUGACAGUCUUCUCCCUUACUAAAAUUAUUUUUCAUAAAAUCUUUUUAAUAGAAAAUGAAUUCUGGAUGUUUGAUUUUAUUUCAAAUUUAAGAGAGAGGAUAAACAUAAGAAUUAGGGUCCGUUUGUUUACAUGUAAAAGGUUUUACGGAAAAUGUUUUCUGUAUUUUCCUGUGUUUGUUUCACAGAAAACAGUUUGGUCAACGGAAAAUGACUUACAGGUCAACAUAAAAUAAGCCCUUUUUCCUGUAAAAUGACUUACCAUUUUGAAGAACGUAAGUCAUUUUUCCGGAAAAGAGCUCCUCUAUAGAUAAUUUUAUUUUUAUAUAAAAAUUAACUUAAAUCAAGUUUAAUAUUAUUAUAUUGAUAAUAAUUUUUAUUUUAUUUUUAAAAAUAUUUAAAAUUAUUAAAAUAUUAUUAAACUUACAUAUUUAAUUAUUUAUAUGUAGUCAAAUAAUAAAUUAUUAAUAUACUAAAUAUAAUUUAUUAAAAUAAUAAUUUAUUUAAUAUUUCAAUUUUAUUUUAAUAAUAAAUUUAAAAAAUAAUAAUUUUAAAUAAUAUUAAUCACAUAUUAUUGAAAAUAUUCAAUAUUAAUAUUUUAAUAAUAAAUAUUUCUUACAAUUAUAAAUAUAUUAAUAAUAAAUAUUUUUUAGUGUAAAGGUUAAAAUAUGUCAUAAGUCUAUGUACACUUCACAAAUUUGCAGUUUAGUCUUUGUACUUUUUUUUCAAGAAUUUAGUCUAUUUACUUUUCAAAUUUGAAAAUCAAGUCCAAUUGUUGACAUCGUUAAAUUUUUUUGUCAAUUUUGUUGAUGUCACAUUUUUAAAUAAAAAUACUCAUUUAUUAGUCAUAUAAUUAAAAAAUAACUUGUAAUGAAGCUGAAUUUAACAUAAUAUUUUUAAUAUAUGCAAAAAAAAUGUAAAAUAUAAAAUUAUAGAUAAAAAUGAAUUCAAUUAAACAAUAAAAAAAUCUCAAAUGUAUGUUUGUUUCAUUGAAAAUAACUUUUAUGAAAUAUUUUAAAGAAAUUUUCCAAACAACAGAAAAUAUUUUACACAGAUUCAUCCAAACACUAGAAAAUAUUAACUUUUUCAGAAAAAUAAGUCAUUUUCCAAAAAUCAUUUUCCGAAAGUCAUUUUCAGUAAAACAAACAGAGCCUUAGAUAAUGUUACCCUUGGACUCCACCAUGUCAAUCUUCCAAGCAAUUUGUGUACACGGUACCACAAAUUAUAAAUUGACUUUGGCUAACAAUGCUAGUAAUUUUCUUUAAAUGAAAUUUAAUAUGAUCCAUUGACUAAAUAUAUAUUAAUCUGAAAUUAUACGGAUGACAAGAUUGACAAUGGACAUUAUCCUGUAAUUUUUACAGCUGUUUUUGAAAUGGAUGGUUCGUAUGGUCGAAGUUUUUUAUUCAUUAGAAAUCAAUGAACGUGUUUCAAUUUCACAAGUCAUUUAAAAAAUUCCUAAAAUUACAUAUAUAUUUCUUCGCCAAUUCAGACAAGAUCUUUGGCAAAAGCAAAAGAUAAUUGAAACUUGGCAAGAAGUAGUCUAACUUUUGCCACAAAAACUUGCAACAUAUGUUAUAAAAUGGGCAAGGAGAUUCUAAAUUAAGCUUUAAGGUGGAGACUCCUUGGGGAUCUAGUUUUGAUGCUAGUAUGCAAAGACACUAGGGGCAGGGACGGAGGCGGAAGAGCAACCAAAACUGUAAGAUUAAGGGAAGAUGAUCCUCUUGAUAUAAGUGAUAUGAUGGGUGAUAACUCAAUCUUUCAAAGAUAAACUUAUGAAUUUCUUUAGUGUUUUGAAUUAAUAGAGGAUGAUGUUAUCAUCUACAUUGUUGAUGGUACACCAACAAUAAGGUUUUCUCAUAGUGUUUACAAUUGAAUGGGUAAAUUUAUGAAGAAAAGUGUCAUGAUUUAAUCAUAGUUAUUUUUUACUAAAUCAACCCUUUUAGCCAUUUCAAAUUAUUUGUAGAUGAUGAAAUUUUUUGACUAAUUAUAAAGUGCCUCAUAUCAAGUCAAAAUUAUUGUGGGUCAAGUCAAAAGUAUCAUAUGUAAAAAUUGAUGACUUUAUAUACCACAUCAUAAUUAUUUUUUUCAAUUAAUUUAAAUCAAUUAAGAGAUUAAUUAUAAAAAAUUAUAUUAUCACUAAUUAAGUGAUUAUUUUAUCACCUAAUAAUUAUUUAAUAUUAUCACUCCGAAUGAAGAGUUUAUAUUUCAUUGAAAUUCCUCUGCUAUUCAAGUAACUAACAUUAUAAAAGGGAUCACCACUAAGUCAUCUUACACAUUUCACAAAUUCAGAAAUCCAAAAGUUUUCUGAAUAAACUGAAGAACUUAAAAAUUUUUUGAAGAAUGUCGCAUUGAUUCUAAAGAAAACUUGCCUUCCGGUCCAAUUCAACCAAGGAGAGAAAGUCAAAAGUUGUUUCUAAAUAAAGUCAUCUUUCAAUUCAAUUAACUAGAGAAGGGAGAUCCAAACCUGUUUUAAGAGCAAGUCAACACGAAACUUAAAGCGAUCUGCAUCUAUCCAAGAUCAAGUUUAGAUGACUCUUAGAUAGAAGCUUAAGUGGAGAGAAAAAUUAAGAGGCUUUUCUUUAUAUUCAAGAAAUCUAGAGGCUGCAACUUUUUUUCAAAAUGUGUACACUAUUUUAUGCAAUCAACACCGGUUCCAAGUGCUUGUGAGAAAAAGAAAUGUCAGAAACUUUAUUUAGGGUUCAACAAGUGAGAAGUGGAAGCCUACUCUCAUUAGAUAGGAUAACUGUUGGUAACCCUUGGAGAAUGGGGCCUCGGUAUGAGGAAACUAAAGGCACAAAACAAGUCUUUCAUGAUGAAAAUAGGCUUCAAUACAUUUACUGACAGGGAUUCUAUAAGGGUUCGAGUACUUCGGUCCAAGUACAAAGUGCUAGAAGGCUUUCCGCCAAUGAUUUAAAGAUCAAAUUGUUCCUUUGUGUGACAUUCUUUGGCAAAGAUUUAGAGAGAUAUUGAUGAAAGUAUUUUCUGGUCAUUGAUGAUGGAAAAUCUACACGAUUUCGGAAAAGAUACUUCAUUUUUGGACCUUGUAUAGAUAUUUCUUAAACGAAAGCAUGCCCAUGAUUACUGUUGUGUGAGGCAGAUGAUUGAUGUUGUACCUAGAUGGAAGUAGGAUAAAUUCGAUAUUCGUCUUCCACAAGAGGUGAUCUUGAACAUUGUGAUAUUUACCCCUUGCGAGAGGGAAUUGAGCUGGAUAAAUGCUUAUGGAGAUGGUCCACCAAUGGAAAAUUUUCCUUGAAUGUAGCUCAAAAAUUCUUAUGCAAGGAUAGUUGGAAUCCUAAGGAGGACGCAUGGUUUAACAUAUGGAGGAUGCAUGUACUCAAAGAGUUUGAAAUUUUCUUUGGGUUUUGAUGCAUAAUAAAUUACUCACCAACACAAAAAGAUGCAAGCGUGGCAUUUACGAUAUAGAAGCCUAUGAUGUAUAAGGUGAUAUAUAAUGCAAUUAGACAUUGUCAAGUGACAAAAUUGGUAUGGUUAAAACUAAUUCAUUUUGAUAAUCGAGAUAGACUUUUCUCUUUACCUUUGUGUAAAUGGUUACUCGAGAAUAUGCUUAAUAAAAGUUUCAUUUAUGAUGGGGUUGAAUGGUGCAUUUUUUUGGAUUGUGAUGUUGGAAUUUGUUGAAGCAAAGAAAUAGUGAAUUUUCAGAACAAGAAGCUUUACCUCUAUGGAUAUAAUUAACCAAUCUUAUGUAUCGUCUAAGAAUGUUAAGGUAGCAUGGCAAAAAGAGCUAAGCUGAGAAGAGAAAAGUUUUGGAAUUUCAAAAGAAUCCCACAUCAUUUUGAUAAGUAACUUGGAUUUUGUUUAUAAAACAUAAUAAAGCUUAUAAUGGUAAAAUGAAUCACAUAGUUAUUGCAAUAGUACCAAUAAAUAUAAUGUCUGCCAAGGGUUUUUUUAACACAUUAAAAAUUGUUAUUGGUUCUCUCCCUCAAUUAAGUAUUGUGUUGAUUUUUUUAUUUCUUGUUUGUUUCUACAACUAUACUUUGGAUGAGUUAUUUUAAAAAUAAUAUUACGCACACUACAAAAUGUAAUUUUUAUAAUCGACAUUGGUUAUUGUAGAUAAAACAAUGAAUGGAGCAACGAAUUUCAUGAUUAAAUACCCCAUCAACAAUGAACCAGGUUUACAUAUUUGUUAUUUAUCACCAAGGGCAAAACUAGGGGGCUGGCAUGGCCCGACCCCCCUAAAAUGAAAAAUUUUUCAUUUAACCCUUUUAAAAUUUUUAAAAUUUAAAUUAGUAAAAGUAAAAUUACAAUUUGGCCUCCUUAAAAAUAUAAAAAUUUGAUUUAAUUUUUUAAAAAUUAUAAAGAUAUAGGCUAUUAAAAUGAUGAAAGUGCAUUUUUACCAUCGUAAAAAUUACAAUUUAAUUUCAAACCCCCUAAAAGAAUUUCUGAUUUUGCCCAUGUUUACCGUGACGACGAGUAAACGGGAUAAUUAUGGAAGAUUGGAUGAGAAUUACUACAAGGAUUAUGUCUUGUAAUAACUAGGGUCUCUUAGUUGCCCUCCUUUCUUUUACCCCAAACAAAAAAAAAAGUCACUGAUAAUAAAUUCAAUGAGAUUAAAUUGUUAAGGAAUUGAAGUUAUGGUAAUGGUGCUAAAUUUUCUUCUAUAAACUAAUAUUACAUUUUAUUAAUAAUAACUAAAUUAAUCAUAAAAAGAUAUUAACUAAAUUAAAAGGCCAUCGAUUUAGUGAUGGUGGAAAAUGUAAUACUGCUAAUUUGGAGAAAAGAGUGCUCAAAGUUGCUGGUAAAAGACCAGAUUGUGAAGCUAUGGUUUCCUAUUGGAUAGAAUUAAAAUAGAUUGUGGACCAUUCACUCACCUAAUUAUGACAUUUCAUUCAAAGAGUUCAUUAAAUAUUUCUUCAAUGAAAAAGAUGGCAAAAAAGAGAUAUAGCUAUGAAUUAUAAAAAUUAGAGAAGCUAAGACUAUCUUCCAUCCAAUCUAUAAUUAUAUUUUGAUUAUAAUAUUCUUUUAUUCCAUAUUGUGUAUAGAGAAGGCAACUAAGGCUGAGCCAUAUUAAGUAUUCUAUAUAUGUUCUUACUAAAUACGUUUACAUCCACUCUUUCUGUAAGAAAUUAUUUUUGUUUUGAUUAGAGAUUCAUAUAUUUUGAUUUUUCAAAUAGUAUUUUAUAUAGUUUCUUUUUAGGGUGAAUUGGUUGGUGGGAAUUUUAAUUUUAUUAGUAAAAUUGAGAUUUUGUUACAUGUGGUAGUUUAAUUUUUUUUAAAAAGGGUGAUUAAGGUGCUUAGUUGGAUCUAUUUUUGGAUAAGUGUCGUCUCAAUUUUUGAAGAACCGACAAGGAAGAAAAUUAAGAAAAUCCCAAUAAAGAUCUUGAUUAACUUGUCAUUAAAAAUAUGCUCUCUCUUAAUUUGAUUUAAAGAGAACCAUGAUAUUUUAAAUUACACAGAAAAAAAUGAUUGUCAUUCAUAAUCAGAUGAAUCAGACCAAAGACUUUCUAAGGUUUUUUUUUAUGUAUAAUGUUUUGUAAUUUUUAUAUUAAUUUUGAUCUUUUAUAAUUUUAACAUUAUAUAUUUAUAAAAAUAAAUGAUGACAUGGUAUAAUAAAAUAAAUAUCGCUUUAUCCUUAAAAAUUUUCAUAAAAGAAAAACUAAAUUUUGUGAUUUGAAAUUAAAAAAAUGAGUAUAGACUAUAGACCUGGGGUCUGACAUGUUGUGAGAGAACUGAUGACAUAUUUUCAUGGAAAACUAGAGAAUUAGUUUCAUCACUAACAUUUAAAAUUGCAACUAGAUAAUUUUUUUAUCCAAUUAAAUAAAUGAAAAUGUGAUUAUGGGGAUCUCUGUAAUUUUCAAAAGACUCUUACCAAAUGGAAGUCUUAUUUUUAUACACAAAAGUCCCAUCUUAAUUACAAAAUAUAUGGGAAACAUUGGUCAAUGAUUGAAAGAUACCCCUUUGACACUGAUUCUUUUUUGUUUAAUUAAGAACUGAUUACAAGUUGAUUUGUGAUAUCAAGGGGUAAUUUUCUAGGCUGAAUGAUUACAAGGCUGUGGCUUGGGAGCACGGUAUACUAUUACUAUCCCAAGUUUUAAGCUUUUUUUUGUCAACAAAAUUCAGAAACCCACAAAUCAAAUCCAUCAAAUUAAAUUUAUAAAUUAGAUCCAUCAGAAUAAGUGAUUGAACCUAUGAAUCAGACCAUGAUUGAUGUGUCGUGGGGAAGUCACAUGCAUGAUGCAACGUGAGAGUGGCGGCCUUUACCCUUUUGUUUAACAGUCAAAACAUGAAACAGGGUAGAAAAAAUGGCAGCCAUGCAUGGCUGAAAGGGCAUUCUUUUUUAUUAAAAUAUAAGGAGGGGAUGUUUAAAUUUAGACUCCAACCGAAAUGAGAUUAUUAUAAUUGAAAGCCAAACCCUAAAGACGGUUCCCCCAAUUGGGAGGGACGAUGGAUUAACAGCUAGCCCCGCCUACAAUUCUACGUUUGGCUCAAAUUUAGAUCAACUCACUACACGCUUGAAAAUAUCAUUACUUAUCUUUGAGGAUCUCAGCUGAUGUCAUAUUUAUAUUUGUAAUAUUAAUUUUCUUGAAUAAAGUAAUUUCAGCUUGAGAAUCGCUCUUGGGUUUUCAUUUCUUUAUAUGCAGGUGAAUUGACCCAAAGCUAGGAUUUAUAAAAUGAAAUUUUGGUGACUUCAUAGUAAAUGAAAAAUCAAUAUUUAAUGACUUGAGUCAACAGAGGAUAGAUAUAUAAAUCUAAUUUAACACUGUAAAGAUUUAUAAAAAUGUUGGCUGGACUUCAUCAUUUCCCUUUUUUCCUUGCUAAAAAAUAUGAGGAUUGAAGCUAAUUAAGUUGUGACAUAAACUCUUCAUAUUAUAAAACGUUAGAUUAUUAUUUGGUACAAAAUUUUAAAAUUAAGGUUUAAGUGAUAACAUGUCAUUUGAAUUAAAUUUUAAAAUAAAUAAAUAUAUAUAUCAUUAUCUUAAUUCGAUUUUUUCUUUUCUUUUAAUAGCAACUAAGAAGACAAGACGGAUUAUUUUGAAAAUCACUUUCUUUCCAUCGUGUAUUCAAGGGCGAAGUUAGAAAAUUUGUUUGGAGGGGGCGAAAUUGAAUUGUAAUUUUUACGAUCGUAAAAAUAUAACUUUAUCAUUUUAAUAGCCUAAAUCUUUACAAUUUUUAAAGGAUUAAAUUAAAUUUUUAUCAUUUUAGGGGACCAAAAUAAAAUUUAUUAAUUUAAAAUUUUAAAAAGUUUAAAUGAAAAGUUUUCUUGCAUUUAUUUAAAUAACGUAUUUCUGUGUUUAUUAUCCAAAAAAUAGAAUAAAGUUUAGGUUGUGCUAACAAAUAUUACUAGAAUUAUAAAAUUUGAGUACAUAUCGAAAUGUGAUAUGUAAAUUCACCAAAAUCUUAC